GUGAGGGGGAGUGGUACACUCACCGGUUCAAGUACGGAUACUUCACAAAUUUUCACUUCAGAUUGGCUUUAAUCGCCAAGAAACCCUAAAAGAAUCAAAGUAAAACAAUUGAAGGUUCUACUUCCAAAAUCGAGUAUACAGAAUGCACAUGUGAGACUCGACUACACGUCGUACGCCUUUCCAUGGUAAGUACUAGUACAAAAGAAUAAAAUAUGACUUUCAAAAGGCAACUCAAACCUAAAGAGACUAAGCGGACUAGAAAAUUGGACAGCAUUUCUCCUACAUUUGUUUACUUUUUCAGCCGUCAUGGCUUCAUUAUUUUCCUCAACCAGUCCCAAAGUCAUACACAAAAUAAGUUCAUCCAAUAGCCGUUCAGUAAGUUCCAAGUAGUACAAGUACAAUUCAAGUUAGGAAAAAGUCCGGAAAUGAAAAUCAAGCCCUAAAAUAUUCAAAUAAGCACAAUAAGACUCGAUUACAAGUCAUAAACCAAUGCCAAAUACCACUAAAAUAAGGUUCCACUAGAAUGCAUAAACACUAGGGUAAACCAGGAAAAUCCGGAAAUGGAAUAAAUUCUAACAAAAAAAAAACAGUUUUUGACAUCAUUUUGCAGUUUUGGCACCAUUGACACUACACUUAUCGGAUGGAGGUGAAAGAUACACCGUUUCAAAGCUAAGAGAUAGGGCUACAAUGUUCAAGAAGACUACUCUGCCCAGUUUCGAGUGUAACCAGGUAAAAAAUGCAAGAUACGAAACCAGAACCGCAAAAACAGGUUCACAAACCGCAUUCUGGUUCAAACAUCAUAAGUCAGGCUACCUAAGUCCAAAUCAAGUGAUUCCAAAGCCAUCCGAAAGCUAAGAUACAUGGCUACAAUCCAUCAGAAGAUCUCAACAACCAAUUCCGAAGUAUUCCCAACCAAAAUAACCAAUUACAGACGCAAUUAUCAAAUUCGGGUAGAACCAGAGCAGCAGGGGUAUUUCAAUCUUUUCUCAAGUUACGUUACUCCGAUUGACCUGAAAUUUUGCUGGCAUCUCUAAAAUAUCAUUCCCUACAACUUUCAUGUUUUAACCCAAGGCCAAUUCGGUCUCUAACUAUGAGAUACAGUGCCGGGCAGAAUGUAGGACAUGAAAUCCUAGUUUUCCAAUUUUCCUUCCAAAACAGAUAUUUCCUGCAAUUAACCACUUUUUCACCUUCUAGCUUCCUUAAAUAUCAUUUUCAAUCAUCAUACAUGACCAUAUAAUAAUAAUCAUAUGAAAACAGAAAAAUCACCAAUAAUUAUAAAACUUCACCAAUUCAACCAAUAUCAAGAUAUAAUCCAUAAAAUUACAUCUUAAACUACCACCAAUCAUGAAUUAAACAUCAUUAGAUAGAGGAGAGGGGUUCCUUCACAACUCACCUUAGCAACACAAGAGAGAGAGCAACUAGUCACCUUAGCUUUCCAAACAACUUCACCAAUCACCUCACCAACACUAAGUGAAGAGGUUUUAUGGAACAAAAUCAAGUUUAAGUGGUUGUUUUGAUGGAUUUGAGCUAAAUGGAAGCAAGAACUUGGAGAGUUUUCUUUCUUUCUUUCUUGGAGAGGGAUUCGGCCAAGAAGCUUGCAAAAUUGAAGUAAUUUUGGUCAAUUUUUAGUUUAAAUGGUAAAGUCAUGAAUAGUGGUCCAAAAGGUCAAAAGGUAAGAAUGACUCUUCAAGUGACACUUGUCACUUCAUUUAAUACAUCUCUAUCCUUUUGUCUCUCUAAUAAUAAUCAAUCUAAAUAACUUCUAAUUAUCUCUUAAUACCUACUAAAAGAAACCCGGUAUCCAACACUUAACCUAAUUGACCGAAUUUUACCGAACUUUCCGCACUAACGAGUCCCACGUCUGGUAUACGCUCUUAAUUUCUCAAAACCUAACCGAUACUAGAAAAAUCACCUGGGAGACUUGUGGCAACUGCUCCUAGCUAGGAGCAGCAAGGGUCAGCCGCCCAAAUCCGAGACAUGAGUGAGUGCAACACUUGUUCCCAUGAUGACGCUGCUCUCAAACACUCACUGCAAUAUUGCACCGAGUUAUCUACAGAAGUCAUUUGGGAAAACAUCCAAAGUAGCGACUUAACGUUUUCGAGGAUUCAGAGGAAAGCCUCAAAACCUUAACUCAGAUUCUACUAUUUCGGAUAAAAAACUCUCGGUCAACUCUCCUCAUAAACUAAACAAUAGCAUACUGUCAUAUGUUAUACUCAAACUAUAGGGUAUUGGAAUCCAUAGGGUUGACAUUUAAAUAACAAUAAAUCCUUCCAGUAACAAAUUAAACGCACAAAAUAUAUCCAUCCAUAGGGUUAUUAGUUUAUUAUUGCAGUGAGACUGGUGCAAGAAAAUGCGGCUAAUUCCCAGCUUACUCCAGCUUCCUCCAGGAUUCUACCAAUUUGGCCAAUGCCACAAUGGAUGAGCCCCCAUCAGCCAUUGCUUGCUUUGCUUCCUCCUCCUUUGCCUGGGCUGUUUCCCUGAUCACCUUUCCUUCCUCCGAAUCCAUCAACCCCCUAACUCGCUUCUCGAUUUCAGCCGCUUUCACGAACCCACCUUCCGUACUUUCAUCCAUUGGUAAGGCCAACUUCAUCUCCUCAACUAAGAACAGCCUAUUCAGCUUCUGCCCAGCAUAAAGUGGCCACCCCACCAUAGGCACACCCGCACGGACUGCUUCCAACACUGAGUUCCACCCACAGUGGGUCACAAACCCACCCACCGACCCAUGAUUCAACACAUCCACCUGCGGUGCCCAAGAACUCACCACGAAACCCCUACCAUUUGUCCGGUCCAAAAACCCAUGGGGAAGCAACAAAUCCAGAUCUGGGGCGGGUGGAGUUUGAAAGCGGUUGGUUUUGUCCUCAGAAGGCGGACUGCGCACCACCCACAGGAACUUUUGCUCGCUCCUCUCCAACCCGAUGACUAUCUCUUUCAGUUGCUCAGCUGGAAAUCGACCCACGCUCCCAAAGCACAAGAAUACAACGCUUCGACUUGGUUGCAUAUCCAGCCAUUUCAAACAUUCAUGCACACCUCCUCCCGUUCCACCUGCUGCACCUCCACCUUUCCCGUUGUCUGAUGCAAUCAGAGGCAGCUCCAAUGGGGGUGUAAUGGGGAGCCAUUACACCGCUCCAUGACACGGCUCCCCAUUGCAGCCGUGUCAUGGAGAUUACACGCAUCACAUGUAUGAUGCGUGUAAUCCAUUGAAUGUGGGCCCUUUGUGCCUUUUUAUUUGAUUUAACUUAUGUAAUAUUAUGUUAUGGAGUUCAACUAAUUACAUUCCGAAUUAUUAAUUAAGUAUGGAUUAUUAUGAUAUCUUCGCAUUUGAAGUAUCAAAUAUUUGUUUAAUUUCCUACAUAAUUAUUUUUAAAAAAUAACAAUAUAUUAUUUUUGAAACAUAGAAAAAGAUAUAUUAUUCAAACUUAAAAAUUAAUAAUAUCAUUUUUAGAAAAUAAAAAAAUUCAAAAUGUACAAAAUUUAACGAAAGUUAGUACUUUAUUUUUUAAAAAUAACAAAAUUAGUUUUAAAAAUUACUUUAUUUAUUUAUGGGAUAUGAGUUAUGCAUUAUUAAAAUAAAUAUUUGAUUAAUUGUGGACCCAUGCUAUUACACCUUGUGGAGUGUAAUCCAUUGUGAGUGAAAGUGUAAUAAAAGAGGAGAAAGUGGAAUGCUGACGUGGCAUGUGGAUUACACUUCACAAAGUGUAAUAGCAUUGUGGAUGCUCUAAGCUGAAAACAGGCGGAGUGGGGCCAUCCGGAACAUACUUUCCAUCAGCGAUUGAUUUCAAGAUGCUAGGUUCGAGCGAUUCGAACGUGUUGACUAGGAUCCCGGACGAUUUUGCCAAUUGCGUCCCAACAUCUAAGAAAAAUGCAUACUCAGGAGACGUUCUUUCUAGCAAAGGGACUGGCAUGUCUCGUGGUGGUAUUGGAAGUAAAUCAGGAACAUGUAAAAGUUCGUCCAGGUCUUUAAAGCUUUUGUUUGUUGAUUGGUGGAGCGUGGGUAAGUAAAGGAGGAGAGCGAGACCAUUAGCGCCAGAAGUGAAGAAGUAUUAACGCGUCAAUUUUCUUGUCGAGCUCGUCCAUUUUGGUAUCUACGUGCGUUCGAGCGUCCUGUAACUCCGUUUGCAGGGAAUCUACUUGAAUCUGAACCCUAGUCUCAAGUUUCCGGAGCUGUUCAUCUAGAUUCUUGAGUCUGGUACCGUCUGCCAUUUGAAUUUGCAGUUAAGUUGCACCGAGGAUUGAAGGCUCUGAUUACCACUUGUCAGGAUUUAACCUGAUAAUUUCUCAGAAGAAGAAAUUAUAAGAGGGAAAUAGGAAGGGAAGAACAUGAAUUGAGAGAAAAUGAGGGAAGUAAGGGAAAUCUUAUUGAGAAUAUUUCUGUAAUGAAUCUUGUCUGCCAAGCCUUUCCUAUACUUGGCUAUUUAUAGAAAUUUCCUACACCUCCAUGCAACGUGACUGAAGCUGACAACUAACCAUGCAACUAACUAUAACAAACUGCAACAGAAUUCCCAACUAACUUCUUAAGUGCAACGACACCGUAUGUGCCAGAAGUCUGAGCUGCCUUCAAAACGACUCCGCAUUCCCCAAAGCUACGUCGCUUUACCUAGUGUUCCUGACAUUAACUUUAAAUUGCAUACGGACUUACUGGGAAUGAAGGCUGAAAAGGUUGUUGAAGGGUUUUAAAGGUUUGCCACUAUAAGAGUUUGGGAGAAACAAGCGAGAUUCAGUUCGCUCAAAAAAAAAAAAAAAAAAAAAAAAAGGAGGCUGGACACGGCGACCACUUUUAGAAAAGAGAAAAUUUCCUUAUUUAUAAAUUGGUCCAGAACCUUAAAAUAAAUAACAAGCCCGUCAUGUCCAUUGGACACGGUUAUCACUUUAAAAAAAAUAUUCUUCAUUUAUAAAUUGGUCCAUUGACCUUAAAAUAAAUAAAAGCAAAUUAUUUGGAUAGUCACUAAACUUUUUAAAUAAUAGUUGAGUUUUAGUCACUUAACUAUUAAUAGUAUAUUUUUACACACUAAACUAUUAAAAAUUUUGAAUCAUUCCAUCUGAUUCCACCAUUAAUUUUGACAAAUCCAAAUAUUAAUAGUAUAGCUGAUAAGUUAUAUGUGAAUUUUUAGAUUGGACAGAAUUAACAGUUGAAUCAAAUGAAACAGCACAAAAUUUACACACUUAAUAUUUCAGUGGGUAAAAAUAUAUUAUUAAUUGUUAAGUGAUCAAAUCUUAACUAUUUAAAAAUCUAGUAGUUACCCUGGUAAUUUGCUCAAGUAAAUAUCUUCCCAAGGAAAUAGGUGGAAAGGUUUCACAAGAAAGUAUAAGAGAUGUCAACAACAGCAAAACAUCAGGCAGCUUAUGGAAGCAGUUGAUUCCUUUAAAUACUCACUAAACUAGGUACUAGAGAGACUUUCCUUCAGCAUUCCAUCAUUCUCUGGCUUUAACUACAUUAAGGUGGCGUUUGGUAAAAGAGUUUCGGAAUGGGGAAUUGGAAUAAACCCCAUGAUUCAUGUUUGGUUCACUACUAUCGGAAUUGAAAUUUUGAUAUGAUAGCUAAAAAUUUAGCAUUCCACCAUUCCUUAGUAAGUUGGUGGGUUUUGUCCAAAACUCAAGUGUGAUUCCAAAAUCUUAUAAUUACAUAAUAUUUAGUAUAAUUAAUAUUUAUAUAUAUUAUAUAUUUAUAUUUAUAUUAUAAUAUAUACAUAUAUAUAAUAUUUUAUAAUUAUAAUAUUUUAUUAUAAUAUUAGUAUAUUAUAUAAAUAUAUAUUAUAAUUAUUUAGUUAAAUAUAAUUAUAUUUAUAUAAUAUAUAUUAUAAAUUUAUUAAUAUUAGAUAAUAAUAUAUUUAUAAUAUAUAUGUAUAUUUAUAAAUGUAUAUUAUAUGUGCAUAUAAUUAUAAUAUAUACAUGCAUAUAAUAUUAAUAAGUUAUAUAAUUAUAAUUAUUAUUAUUAUUACUAUUUUAAAUAUAAUAAUAUAUAAUAAUAACUAUAUUUAAUAUGUAAUAUAUAUUAUAUUUAUAUAAAAUAUCAGCAUAAUUAAUAUUUGUAUAUAUUAUAUAAUUAUAAUUAUAUAUUUAUAUUAUAACAUUUGUAUAUUUAUAUUUAAAAUAUAUAUAAUAUUUAAUUUAAUUAGUUACAAACUUAUAAUAAUAUUAUUAUUAAUUAUAUGUAUUAUAUAAUAUAUAUUAAUUUAUGUAAUAAAAUUGAUAUUAUCAAUUAUACUAAUAAUUAUACAUGUUUACUAAUAGAAAUUAUUAAUCAGUUAUACUAAAUGUACUAAUACUUUUAUACUAAUAUAUUUAAUUAGUGAAAAUUUCUUAUAUCCCAUUUACAAAGAGUCAAUGACUAUUAUUUACGAUGUGGUUUAUAAUAUAUUUAUUAUAUUCCAUUCUGAAAGAGCCGACGAACCAAACAUCAACUGUAGUAAUGAUACACAUUCCAGGUACUUGAACCAAACAGAUAUACUCCCUCCCUUUUUUUAUAACUGACGUUUAAGAAAUUUGUUUUAGUGUACUUUUAUCUGUCGUUUUAUUAUCCCCAUACAAUAUUAAUUAUUUUUCACAAUUUUACCCUUUUAUCUCUCUUUUCCAAUACAGGAUUCUUAAUUACUACUCCUAGUAAUUAUUGCUUCUUUCUUUGUAACAACUCUAGUAAUUAUCUGCCCCUCCGUAUUCUUUCUUCUUUUCUCGCAGUAUGUUGAACCCCCUAUGUUCUUCUCCAUCACCGCCUCCCUCCGCAUCAACCACUUGCAAUUCAACCAUCUAAAAGAAUACAAAUAAUGUAUUUCUCUUGAGACUAGUUUAUAUAGUGAAGUCCUUAUAGCCUCUCAAAAUAUUUGGUGGGAGUUAAAUAUGUUUAAAAUUUCAGAUUAAAAAUUUAGGUGAAAAUUUUUGGUGGGAAAGUUUUUCAUUUUAGAAACAUUUAGUUUCAUUUUAGAAACAUUUAGUUUGGUGGGAGUUAGUUUGCAUUGCUUUUGGCCUAGUAAAACAACACCAUUUAGUACUCUAGUGAGAGAAAAUAUGGGUGAAUUGGACAAUUAAUGAGGGUACAAAAGGAAAGUAGUGUACAAAUUUAAGCAAUGAAAAACUUUUCUUAAUUGGUGUGCAAAACCUUAAACGUCAGUUAUAAAAAAGGGGAGGGAGUAUUAGAAUGAAUGAUCUCAUUCCAAACCCAAGAUAUCCGAUUUCGAAUCCGAAUUCGACUCCGAUGUGUGAACCAAACGCCACCUAAAACCUUUGUAUGUGUCUUUCCAAAAACUAUAAAAGACCCUAUUUGAGUCAAACAAACCACAAAAGUGAAGUUUGAAAUUUGAAGAAAGAGCAGUAGAUUUAUGAGACAAAAGUGAAGUUUGAAGAAAAAGCAGUAGAUCUAAAAAGUUAACAAAACAAAAUUUAAACUCGUUGCAUCACCAGAUGCACACAGACCUACACAUUUGCUGCCAAAGAAUUAAACAAUAAUCGGUAUAAGUCACGAAAGAAUUGACAAUGCAUAUAUAUCAGCCAAUUAAUGAUACUAUGUUAAGUACUGAAUGACACCCUGCGACUUACCUAAUUGGAUUUCCUGGUGAAUACAGUCGAUUCUUGACAACAUACUCGACAUACAAGUUGUAUAUGUGCUUGAGGGAUUCCCUUCAAUCACCUGUCCUAGGAUGAGUUACCAGGAUGAUCUGUAAAACCAAUAAAUACAUGGGGAAGAAGAGGUUUUUCAUGUUCACAAGAGAGAGUUUUUCAACUUGUCAUGGAAAAAAGUUAUGCUAACUGCCAGCAAGUGAUAGUCAGACAACAGAUAAAUGUCUUGAUACUCUUGCUACAUAGCCAUCUAUAUGAAUGCAAGCAUAUAUACUCAUGCAAUCAUCUGGACAGACCUUAAUCCCAGAUGGACUCUCCAUGAAACUAAGUUAGUAGGUAUUAGUGCGGAAGCUGUGAAACGAACAUCCCUGCCCAGGUAAUUGUGGGACUCCAAGAUUUCCUUUCUCAACGCUGCCAAAGAGAUCAAACAAUAAUGUAAGAAAGUCACUCUUAUUAGUAUGUCUUCAAAGAUAUGAUUAAGAAACAUUUUUAUACCAGGACAAUAAUGAGAUGCAAAACUAGUCUUCAGGAUUACUUUCAAUUUGACCAAAUAAUGGCCAAUCCUUUCUGGUAAAAAUUCUCACAUCACACCAUCAAGCUGCUACUGUGGGUGGUCAUUUAAGGUGCACGCAUAUUAACUCAUGAACUUCUUUAUAUACAUCAACAAAUGUACAUGUGUUUUAACACCAGCAUACUCUUCAAUCACUCUUCUUUAUCAAAAGACUAACACCAUUACAAAAGAAUACCCAAACUUUAGUAAUGCCUAUCAAAGUACUUGUGAUCAUGAGGCAGAUUAUUAUCUUUCUCCUUAGGCAUGAACCUCAUUUUAAACUGCCUUGACAAUGGCUUGACAGUCUGGUUGGAGAAAUGGAUCAUCUUUUUUGGAAUUAAAAAGCUAGAAAAGAAAAAUUGUAAUGCUAAUGCACGUCAUGGAGGCCAAAUUGAUUAUCAGACAACUUGGGGGGGGGGGGGGGGUGGGAAUUGGAUUAACCAAUACGUAAGUUGAAUCAAGCGUCAAGUGCAAUAACAAAAGAAAAAGGUCGUCUAAUUAUUAGAAACGAAAAAAUAAUUCCAAAAUUAUUUGAUCGAAAGAAGGAGAAAACAAACCUAGUUGGAUCCAUUUUGGCAGUCAAGGAUUUAAGAGAGAAGAGGAGACCGAACAUGAGCUUGUGAUCCUGCUGGGGGCUGAGAGUCUUAAGUGGCCGAUUCCAUUCCCUGUACAGCAGACAUACUCCAUUCCUGUUGAACACGUAUAGCAUGUGGGCGUUAUUCCCCGCUGCAGUCGGGACCGGCGGCGAUGGACUGAUCUCGGAUCCUCCGAAAAAUUGCAUGCUUUGGGAGAUACCUUUUUUUUUUUAUUUUUAUCCCUGGGCGAUACUUGUGGAGUUGAGCAACAGGGGGAUGGGAGGAACCAGGGUGAGCAGCGACAGCUAGGGGCCGGGGAAGGGUAGUGGACAAUGGCUUGGCUUGCUGGCUGGUUAGAGAGGAGCGGAGGGGAUCGGGCUAUAAGGCUACUAGCAGUAAAUUUUACUACUGCUAAACUUUUUUAUGUUUUGCUUUUCAAGUUUGGGAUUAAAUUUGGGAAUCAUGGUUCCUGAAAACCUACCAAUCAUCAUUCCUCCCUUUCGUUUUUUCCUUUUGGUGGAGAGAAUGAAAACCUCCCAGUCUAUGCGGGUACAGACUACAGAGUUUUGAUGAAUCUUUAAAUUUCUUUCCAAAAAUCUCAUACCCACAUGGCCAUACCCUGUUGCCAAAACUUAAUUUCCAUGCCUUUUGCUUGACUAGUGUUUAAUUGAUUCAAAUCUCAACCCCUCUAUAUUUUGUUUUCCUGGAGUCCUCAAACCAAAAAAACAACAACAAUAAUAAUAAUAAUAAUAACAACAACAACAACUGCUGCUGCUGCUACUACUACUAGUUUUAUUCACAAUCACACUAAUGUUUGAGGCACACUUGUUGCGUGCACAACUAGCAAAAAAAAUUAUAUACAAUUUUUUAAAUAUUUGUUAAAGUCAUUCUUAUGAGGCAAUUUUAUAUUUUUUAUAAUACCUACGGUGAAAAAUUUACCAAAAUAAACUAUGCAAAAUGUAAAUAGAUAGUUGUUUGGUAGUGGGUAAUAAUCAAAAAAAGAGAAAGAGGGAGCUAGUGGAUAGUUAGUUAUAAAAAGUACUAAUUUAGAAAUAUCACAAAGUGACAGGUUUUAGUUUACACAAAAAAACCUCCUCUUUUUUGUAUAUGGUACAUAGAUAAUUAUUACUGUUUUUAUAAACACUCUAACUUACCAAUAUGUUCAAAUGCCAUAGUUAUAAAACUUGACAUGCCUCAACAGUAAAACUGGUCAACUCGGUGAACGGAUCAUAGGAUCGAGUUGGAUUGUUAAUCAAACCUAUUGACCCGUCAAUGAUCCGACAUUUCAAUUGGUGAAUCGAAAAAAAAAAUCGUCAAUUAAGUUGCCGUCUAACCACCAACAUAAAAAUUAUAUUGUAUUUAUAAUUUAAAAUAUAUUAUAAUAUUACAUAAUAUAACUAUUAUGCAACCCACAGCUCGAUCACCUCUCCGGAUUGAGCUCCUAACCGGAUUUAAUAACUAUGGUCCUAAGUCAAUCUAUUUGAAAAUACUAUAGUAAUUGAGCAUAUUUUUUCCUUCUAUUUUUGGAAACUUACAAAAAGAAAAAUGGAAGUAUCAUCGCUCAAUUUAUAUUUGCAAGGUAAAGUUAAGGUCAUGACGGCGGGGAACAUUCAUUCCGACUGGACCAAAAUAUCUGUUUUCAUCUUCUUUUAGCGUCCAUUUAGUAACAACGUGGAGAAGAAUUUGCAUCGGGAAUGGGAAGAACUCGGAAUCAAAGCUAUGCUUGUUUGUGGUCCAUAGCGAAAGAUAUCACAUAAUGGAAUAAACGUUGACAUGCCCGACCACGUGAGAAAAGCCCAUUCUCUAAAUUUGGCCCAUUUUUGCAAAAUGACUGUGUGAUUUUUCCAGCCCAAAAACAAACUCUGGUUAUGUAUCGAAACCAACCAAGGCCGUAGAAGAACCUUCUUCAACUUUGCGGCAUUCAUGAUCCAACAACUACGGUGACUUGUACCUUGAUGAAUGAACUGCGCUGCGUUAUUUAUUUAUUUAUUUAUCAUUCAUGUCAAACUUUUCUGUUUACUUUCUCAUUUUAUUCAAGAAAUUACUUCCUUCGAUAAGUACAAGUACUAGAUUAAUGAACGUAUAUGAGUGAUUUUCUAAUUCGAUUUGAGUUAGUAGUAUUAUCCAAAAGGACAACAAAUCAAUUUGAAAGCUGUAAAUAAUUAAUUUGCCUGUGUUUGUGUCUACCAAUUAGUAGUACCACAUAAAGGCCCAACAAGGGUUUGGGUUGGGUAUUUAAGUCCCUGGGUUGGCUUCAAGAGUUGCAGGCUUUUGGAGUUCAAUCUAGAAUUAUAUUUAAAUUAAUCAACAAAAGUCUAUUACUGAAGUUGAAAGAAGACAACUAACUCUGGGAUUGGGUUCUUGGAUGGUAGUAUCCCACUUAGCAGCAGGGUUCCCCCUUUAGGUUAGUUAUCCCACAUCGGUUCUGAGAGGGGUUUGGGUUGGGUAUUUAAGUCUCUGAGUUAGCUUCAAGAGUUGCCGGCUUUUGGAGUUCAAUUUGGGAUUAGAUUUAAAUUAAUCAACAAAAGUCUAUUACUGGAGUUGAAAGAAGACAUAAAGGCCCAACAACAACUCAAAAUAGCUGAACACAGCUCAUAUGAUGGUGUUGGAGUUAGCGGCAUCAACUGUCUUAACUUCAUGUCUUGCUAUUACCCAAAAAAAAAAAAAACUAUGUUUUCGGAGUCGGAGACUCAAUCGAGUUUAGGAUUAAGGGUCAAUAGAUUCGAUCGAAUUUGAUUUGGAGUUGAAUCGAAUAACAUCAUAUAUAUGUCAUAUAUAUAUAUACCCAUUAUUUUUCUUGUAAAAAUAACCAAGAUCCUAAUAUUCACUAAUCAACAAGAAUAAUCAGCAAUCACCUGACGCCAAUGAGUAGCAAAAAGGAUUAACCUAAAUGUUUAAAAGCAUUUGGCUUAAUUAUUGAUCCCAGAAAACAAAUUUUGCAUUAGUUGAUUGUCCUAAUAAAUCUUGACUUAACCCAAAAAAAGGUAUAAAAGACAAGUAAAUUGGUAUGUUUUGUCAUAUAACCUAUGAGAUUAGAAAUAAAAGGUAUUCAAAAGGUGCGUCAUCUUCAUAUGCGAGUCAGACGGUUUCGGAUACCACCAAAUCACCUAAUCAUAACUUUGUACUCAAAUUAACAAGUUGCAUGUCCUUUUUAAUCAAGAAAAUAUAUAUCAGUCAAGUGAUAUAUAUAUCAAGACGAAGAAUUAUCAGUCCUCAAGUCAACAUACCGGGACAUCAGUCAAGUGAUAUUAUUAUAAGAUUAAUUCAUGGUUCAAUUUUCAAACCUUUUUCUUUCUUCCUUCCCUCUUCAACUCUGCAAAACAUAAAAAUCUCCUGCUAGGGAAAAAAAUACAUAAAUAAAUAUUGAAUCUGACCUGAAGACCCGACCCGGUUUGGGAUUAUUGAGUUGGCAAAGAGAGAAAAUUUUAAAUUUAUGAUGAUGCAUGCCUGGGAGACUUUGUGGCAAUCAUAGUUAUUAAAUUUGGCCUGAUCCGGCGGUCGAACCGAUCAAUCCGGUAAACCGAUCAGUGAAUCGGGCCGGAUUUUCAUUAUAAUAUAAUAUACAUAUUAAUAUAUAUUAAUAUACAUAUUAUAAAACAAAAUUGAAAUAAAUAUAUUUAUAAAUAUAUAUAAAUAUAUUUUGAACAAAAUAUUAAUAUUAAUAUAUAAAUAUAUAAUAUUUAUUUCAAUUGAUAUAAAUAUAUAUAAAUAUAUAUAUUUACAUAAAUAUGUAUAUAAAUAUAUUUAUAAAAUUAUAUAAAUAUAUGUAAAUAAAUAUAUUUAUAUUUACAUAAAUAUAUAUGCAAAUAUAUUUAUAAAUAUAUAUAAAUAUAUUUUAAACAAAAUAUAUUUUUUAUAUAUAAUAUUUAUAUAUUAAUAUAUUUUUUGUAUAUUUGGAGUUAUUUUUUAUAUAUUGUUUAAAUAUGAUGUUUUUGGAAUUGUUUUUGUUUGUGUAUUACUGUAGUAUUGUAAAUGAAAAAAUUACUUUUUAAAAAAGUUUGUUUGGAUUGUGUUUUAUUUCCCCAAUUUUAUCUGCUUACAUCAUUAUUACAAUUUUCAAUACACCUUUUUAUCUUCCCAAUUACCUUUUUAUCUCACAUACAUCACAUCACAAAAAGUGCUACAGUAAAAAUAUUCCAAAUAAAACACAAUCCAAACAAACCCAGCGGGCAAUGAUAAAUCUUGUUCUAUGAAUCAUCAUCUUCUUUUUUUUUUUUUUUGCCCUUUUUUCGUACCGCACUAGGCUCCAAAUCUUUAAACUGCAAGACAACUUCGAUUAUGUCAUAUUUGAUGCAUUUUCAUUCUCAUUUCCUUUUUUUUUUUUGGGUAGGUACUGAGUUUGUUUGGAUAAGAGUUUAUUUGGAUGAUUUAUUUGAGAUAAUUACUGUAACAUUUUUUGUGAUGUGAUGUAUGUGAGAUAAAAAGAUGAUUGAAAUUUGUGAAGUAAAUUAUUUUACUUUAAAUCUUGUUUGUUCAAACACAUCCACUUUUUGUGAUGUGAUGUAUGUAAGAUAAAAAGUAUGUUUUAUAAUCUCCAAGAAAAUACAAAAUCACAGCCAACAAGCAAAGUAUAGGCUUUGUAUGGACUGUUAGUAUCCAUUAUCGGUAUUAGAAAACAGUAAACUUUUUGAAUAAUUGACUUCGGUUGACCCAAAUAAUUUAUUUGCCUAGCAUCCAGUUUUCUUUUUGAGCUCUGUCUUGUUUUCUGACCGUUACACUUUCCCAAUUCACAAACCAACAAAACCUGUCUCGUACUUGUCCUCUCUCUUUCUUCCCCUUUACUCCCCUUCUUUAUCACCUUCAACCAGACGCUGCAUCCCCAUUAAUUCAUACCUCUGCUCUACGACAAGCCUCCAUUUACUGAGAAAUAACUAGCCAAUUUUCACAGAUAAUUGCACCAAUACAACGCGGAUCGGAGAAAGCGCAUGAAUUUUUCCUCGGUCAUAACGAUUCUGGCCAAGAAAGCUCUAGGAAUCAGACCUUGCUGCUAACCUUCUUCGUCGACACAGAAAUCUCCACUGCGCUCAAUUCAUCUGCCCAGGUAUGUUUCGCUGCCUUUGUUCCAAUAAAUCUAUUUUUGGAACAGGUUUUUGUAUGGUUCUUCAGUGGACUAUUCAGAUUUAUGGUAAAAAGCUACCGAAAUAUCUGCUACCCAUAGGUCUUGCUUCUGAAAAAUUAGGGUUCAAUAAUGGGUUACCAAGAUUAUGUUUAAUUGCUCAUAAUUAGUGUUAACAAAAUUAACUAUAGCUGAGGGAGGUAGUAUGACUAUAAAUACACUUGAAAUAAAUUAGAUAUAGGAUGUCUAAUUUUAUUCGAUUCUAAAAACACCGUGAUACAAUGUUUUUGUUUAAAUUCCAUCAUGUUUGCUUUGGUGUCUUUAUUGACUGAAUGCGCUUGGAUCUGAUUUUUUAUCAGCUGUACUAGUUACCAUUCUGCCGUCUCAUUGCUAGAGGAGGUCAUAAUGCUUCUGUUUUUUUUUUGUAGCAACGCAAUCCGGAACUUUAGUUCCCCCAAUAUUAGAUUGGAACACAUUUAUAUGCCUUUGAAACGCCGUCGACUCUGUAAGAGCAACGGUAAGACCACUACAGAAGUUCACCAAGUGUUUGAUUGUCUAUACUAUUGCAAGGUUGUUGUUAUUUCUUGCCUUCCAUUCUAUAUAACAUUUGUUUUUUAUCCAACAAUAGCCACAUGGACUACUUAGGAAUGUGCAAUUUAUCGAACAUCUAUAACUUUCAUAUUCUAUUAUGUCUUUCUAUUAUACAAAUAUCACAAUUUUUUGAGUCUUCUAUAUUCAUUUCUAUGCAGUCCAGCCAGCACAUUCCGAGACCGAUUCAAACGAUUUGGGUGCUUGCGCAAGAAACUACUUUGCAACGGUAAUACUUGCCUCCUAGUCUGUAGUAAUGAAGUUAUGGGUAAUGGAAUUGACUUUUUCUUAAGCAACCUGGCUGUGUACACUCAUUACUAUAUGAUUUUGUUGCGGUAGAUGACUGAUGAAUCUGAAGUAGCUGAUUGGAAGAAUCACCCAACACUUGAGUCAUCAUUUGUUGCCACACUUGUAGAAUGGCAUAGGAAUGGUGCUUGGGACAAGUUCCAAAAGGGCAGGUCGAACUGGCAUCAUCUAACUCUACACAUGAAUGACAAGUGUGGAGCUAAUUUGAAGUGGGAACAAUACCGAUCCAAAUUUUACCGACUGGAAUCUGAGUGGAAGUGUUUUAUCAAGCUAAAUGGGAUGUCCGGAUCUACGGCAGAGACAGGAGUUGGCUUUAAUUCAGAGUUGCUGUGCUUUCAGGCCACAAGGGAGAAAUGGAGCGCUCUUACGCGGGUAAACUUAAUCAAAUUAACUUCCGCUGAUACCUAUGAUCUAUUGACUGCAUUGCUGAAAUUUUUUGGCAAGUUUGCUUGAGGACUUUUAUAUGACAACUCUUGUAUUUUGCAUGAUGCUUUAUUAAAUUUCAGUUAAUUAUGAUUAAUGGGCUGUGUAUCUAUUAAAGAUGUGGACAGAUGUCAAAUUGUUUCUGAAUUAUUUGCCAUCUUCUUAUAAGGAACAAUAUGUAGACGGACCUGCCAUCAAAUUCUUGGUUGCUUCCCUUUUAUUAUUAGUUUCUAUACAAAGCCUUUAGGUAUGACAGUCUUAUUGCGUUAUGAAUUUAAUAGACAGUACAGUGGUGUAGGAAAUGCUAUUGCUAUGCCUUAACAAAAUUGCCAAUGACGCACAAAACGAGGCAAUUAUAUUAAGCAGAUUAGUACUGAGUUUCUUGCCAAUGACCAAACGAGUGGUAUGUUUCGCAAAGCCACAUUCAUAUAUUUGCUACUAUCUUUUCUGGUUGUUUGCUGCCCUCUUAUAUCUUUUAUUUCUGCCAUCUUUGUUUAUGUAAUGGUAGCUGCUCAAUAUAUCAAAACUGCUGUAGGUUAUCAAUAUCCAAGUUACUUCAAUUCAUUAUAUACAUGUCUUCUACCUGAAAAUUGCACUUUCUACUUGGUUCAACACAUGUCCUUUCACUUGCCUUACAGGAAAAUAAAUUCUUUGCAAGGUUCAAAGAAGGACGAAGCUGUGGCUGUUUCUUUGAACUGACUGAAAUCCUUCAGGGCAGAUCUGCCACAGGCAAGCAUGCCCAAUCGUCUACCCAGAGUGAAGUCCAUCACUCUCCGUGGUCUGCUGAAAAGACAACUGGUGCUGCAUCAAGAGUCAAGGGAAAGGCAAAGGUAGACGAACCUACGUCAGUGUUUUGGGGUGACGAUGUUUACAUCCCUGUUGUGGAUGAAGAUGUCGAAUUUGUUGGUAGUAGGCCUGGUAAACGACCAGCCUCCAGUCGAGGGACUUCGUCCUAUGAUGGGUCUAGGAGUACUAAGUCUCAAAAGACUGGUGAGGCUCUGCGAGAUGCAGCUUGCAAUAUUAGCAAAUUGUCACAGAUUAGGAUUGAUGAAAACACGCAACGUAAUGAGUGGUGUGUGGCUGCUUUGAAGGUUUGGGACAAGAGCUACCCGAAACAUGAGCCUGUACAUCUGUGGAACCAGAAACGGCUUGCAUGCAUGAAGGAGUUCGCAAGCAAUGAGAGGUGGUGCCACAUGUUCCUCCAAUCGGAUGAAAGUUUCCAAUAUUACUACGCCGAUACCAUUCUUGACCCCAAACCCCCUCAUGCAUAGGUAGAAUGAAUAAGUUCGUGACUUAGGGACAGCAUGGGAUGCUAUGUUGGGCUGUUUUCGGUCACGGGAGAUGCGGCGACCAAUUUUGGCUUUUUAUUCUUCCCACAAAGCAUUCUCAUGGAUCCACUUUAUUGUAGCUUUCAUGUUUUAUUGGAUGAGUACUCGUAGUACGUUUGUAAUAAUUAUGGGGUGAAUUCAUUACACGCAACUGUUAUGAAUUUUUCUUAAUUAUGCAUGUGGCAUACGUGGUCACCAAAUGAUGUUGUACUAACUUUAUUGCUUGAGGACUUCUUGAUACUAAUUUUGGUUGCGUCGAACUUGUUCUUUAUCGCCAACAGGGAGCAAUUUUACAAAUUGGCAAGCUAUUGGAUGAAUAUUUUUUGAUAUGCUUAUGUGUAUAUAUCCAUAUAUGAAAAUUUGCUUCAUAUAUAGUCAAAUAUAUAUGGGUAUGAAUGUCCAGGUAUUUGCUAUCAAAACUGCCAAGUACAUAUGUAUAUAUUUGUUUUUGUUGUUAGCAAAUGAACACGAUUGGAAAAGUUGGAAAAGUUGGUAGACCAUUUUUUUCAUGUCAAAUUUGCCAUAUUUGGUUCUAACCAGCAUCCUAUUGCAUAUAUAUUGAUUUCAAAUUGCAAUGGUCAAUUAAUGACUUCGGGAAUACUUCAGUAGGAGCUGGACAAUGUCUUACGGCUAGUCAGCUUUGUAUUGUAUGUAUAAGUGGUUCCUUAUGCAUUUUUUUCAUGUCAAAUUUGCCAUAUUUGGUUCUAACCAGCAUCCUGUUGCAUAUAUAUUGAUUUCAAAUUGCAAUGGUCAAUUAAUGACUUCGGGAAUACUUCAGUAGGAGCUGGACUAUGUCUGAUGGCUGGUCAGCUUUGUAUUGUAUGUAUAAGUGGUUCCUUAUGCAUUUGUCUGGCCUAUAACAUUAAAGCUGCAAUCAGUUUCACGUGCCUGCAAAAUUGGCAAAAGAUGCGCCCAAUAUAGUAAAAAGAAGGAAAUGCACAUGGGUAGAUUGAUUCUGUACAUAGCUUUUUUGCAGCCUUAUGUCAAAUUUGUACAGCCUUCUUUUUUGGCUUUGUGCGAUGGUUAAUUUGUCGUUGGUUAAGUUACCGACACUAUUAUUUCAUAUAUAGAUUAGAAUUAAAUAUUUGGUUACCAAAAGUGUCGUGAGGAAUUGCUUAUAAAGUGUCGGUAGGAAUUACUCACUCAUAUAUUCCUACCAAAACUUGCCUCAGGCAUUUUUAUACUCAAUCAAACAUCUCGUUAGCGAUCCGUAGGGCAACGACGUUACAAAGUCUCUCAAAUAUAUAUGUAAGUAUUUUUAUACCUUUCAACUACAAUUUUAUCUAAGCUUCCUAUCCUUAUAUCGUUUUUUGCUUUCAUGUUUAAAGCCAAGUAAUUUAUUUUCCAAAAUUUGUACAUCUCAAUUUUGGGUUGGCUAUGUCUGCUUCAAUAUUAGUAAGAUAAAAGAAACUCCUCAAGUAAGUUGGACAGAAAAUAGAGGAUGGUGAGUUUUUCAUAGAAAUUUAAUACAAAACGAAUAUUUUAACAAAUAGCAACAAAAAUUGUAGCUGGAACAUACACUGUCAUUCUUUUAUUAUUUCGCAAAAAAGGGAAAAAUAUUUUCCAUCAGUUGUGUUAUAGAAAAUAUACAAGUGUUCUAGGUGCAUUAUUUCAUAAUGUUAUGUAAGUAUUAAUUAAUAGAAGGUGCGUUAUUUAAUACUAUAUGUUAUUAAACUACUUUAAAGAAGUUGGUAGUCAAUUUACAAAAUCUGGCCGAUUGUAUCCGUUGGCCGAUUGUAUGGAAUCUAUUUUUUUCAUUGAUAUGUGUUCAUUAGGGUGCGCAAUGAAUUAUGUAGCCAAUUGAAAAGUUAGAUAAUUGCUUAGUAUUUUAUCACUACAGUUAAUUGUGUUUAUACCACCAAAAUGUCCAAAAAUAUUGUACGUUCAAUCAAUACUUCCCAAAGCCUUUGUAAAGACAACCCUAGCAAUUUUUUUUGGCUGCUUUCCCUUCUGGCGAGCACAAUUUUGCAUUGCCUUUUGGUUCGUCUUUAUUCUAAGGUUAUUUUUUGUAGACACAAUGCAUCAUAUAAUAUUGGGAUAAGAAUAAAAAAUAAGUGGCAUUAUUUGAGUUUAUUAAACAAAAUGUUAUAGGAUGUGAAGAAUCCACUAAUGACAUAUAAUGUAUUAAGUUCAGAAUUUAUUUGUACAAUAUAUUUUUUGUUAUAAGUUGACCCUUUUAAUUUGUAUACUUGAUUGAUCCAAAUUGCUCUAAGUUUAGUGUGCGAGAUUGUGACACACACUCCAAUGGAUAAUAUUUGGAAUCCUCGGCCCUCAUCAUCGAAUAUAUAUUACGAUGAUGAUGACGAGGAUUGGCAACUAAUCCAGUGGGCAACGGUUAUACUCUUCAAUCCCGUGGCGGAAAGAGCAGCUGGAUACAUCAUACCUUUACCAUGUAGAAAUAGCGCCCUAUCGGGCCGAGCUUAUGUACAAGAAAUUAUCCAUGGCCAUCCAGCAAGAGUGCUUGAGAACUGCAGAAUCACCGUGGAUUCUUUCAUGCGCUUAUGUGAAAUUUUAGUGAGCGGGGGAUAUGUACCGCAGAACCCGCACAAAAGGGUCCGUAUAGAAGAGGCAGUGUGUAUGACCUUAGUUAUGCUAAGCCACAAUCAUCGUAUGCGUUGCCUGGCUGAGCGAUUCCAGCACUCCCCGGAGACCAUAUGCAGGAAUAUUCAUGAGGUGCUGCGGGGGAUCUGUGAGUUAGGGCAAUCUCUCAUUUGUCCUAGAAAUCAGAACGAGGUCCAUCCAAAAAUUUACACGGAUCGGCGAUUCGCUAAUUGGUUCAUGGUACUUUAAUUCUACUAAUAUAAUGCAAGAAAUUUCUUUCAGUUAGCUUUAUUUCACAUAUUUAAAAUAUUUUUUACAUACAAAGUAACCCAUAUUUUAAAUGUGUAGAACGCUGUAGGUGCAAUGGAUGGGACGCAUGUUCCAGCACAUCCUCCACCUGGAGAGCAAGUGGCAUAUAUGAAUAGGCAUGGGCAAGCAACUCAAAAUGUUUUAGCAAUUUGUGAUUUUGAUAUGCGCUUUUCAUAUAUUUAUGCUGGUUGGGAAGGGAGCGCACACGAUGCACGUGUCUUGGAUGGAGCACUAACAGGGCCAACACAUUUUCCUAUGCCUCCAACAGGUGCACUCUAGAUGUUAUCAAUUAAAUAUGGCAAUAAUUACUAUAAUUAUAAAAGUAGUCUACUGGGAUGCCAUAUUUUUUACCAUCAAUUUUUUUUAUCGUUAUUAGGAAAAUACUAUCUCGUUGACUCUGCAUAUAGAAACAUUCCCGGAUUUCUUGCUCCGUAUCGUGGAACACCUCGACAACCUGCACAGGGACGACGGGGAUUUUCCUCACCACGACAACUUUUCAAUAAUCGGCAUUCAUCCCUUCGAAACGUUAUUGAAAGAUGCUUUGGGGUGCUAAAGAGGAGGUUCAGCAUCCUUCGCGGGCCUGUACCCAAUUUUUAUAUGACCACACAAAUAAAUGUAGUCAUAGCCUGUUGCACUCUACACAAUUUUAUCCGCAAUGAAUUGCCUGAGGAUGACAUCUUCAAUGACCAUGAACAAGAGAUGGAGGUCGAGGGAGAAGGUGGGGUGCCACCAAUGCCAGAAAUUCAACCCCUAUCAGCCUCUCAACAAGACAUCAACGAAUGGCAUGAAAUGAGGGAUGGACUGGCAAAUGGAAUGUGGAAUGCCUAUCGGAGACGAAGUGGCUAGAAAUCAAUAAGUGAUAAUGAUGUUAUAAUUUCAGUAGUAAAGUAUCGGUAAUUAUGAACCUCUUAUGUGUACGCUUAUCUAAGUAAACUAAUUCAAUCCUGCAUGCUUAUUAUAUGGGUUUGCUUUAAUUGGUGUAGGCUUGGUGAGCCUUAAUCCAAUAUUUCUUUUUUUCAUGUUGACAAUGUAGUCCAAACGUUUCCAUGAAUUCCCCUAAUAAUAAACAUCAACUUUUUUUUUAGUCUCAUAAUUGAAUCAUUAUUGUCAAUUAUAUGAACUUAGCAUAGCCGUUGCCCAUUUGCUGAUCCAAAUAAUCUUAUAUGGUGAGGAUGUCCAAUUUAUUUCGGUCAACUAAAAUAAAUCAAUACUUCCAAGUAUAGAAUAUACAAUCCAAACAGGAAUCCUACUUAAUAUUCUCCCAAAAUUAACUAUCCAAACGAGAUUGAGUUAUUCUAUUUUCGGUCAAUACCUUUGACCGAAAACAAAUAAUUAUUCAUUGGAAUACUAAUAAUCCAUACAAAGCCAUAGAGUUCUAUGACAUAAACUUCUCGAUAAAAUCACAAACUUCUCGAUGAAGACACCUUUCAAGGAUAAACAUCCUCCAAAGUAUAGAGUCCUAUGACACAAUCAUCAACAAACAUCAUCUUGCUUCUAUAUCCACAAAUCAUUUCCAAUUUUAUAGAAAAGGAGAAAAAGUUAGUGUCACGCAACAAGCAAGACUUGAGCGGGAUUAACUACUACUAACUACCAGUAUUAAUUGAGAUUUACCGUACCCUUAUUUAUCCAUAUAGAGUAGCAUUUCUUUUUCUUCCUUUUGGGAAGUUAUAUUUUGGAUAAUUUUUGAACACAAUAGAUCUACACUUACUCUAUAUUAGGGGAGGGGACUUGAUAAGGCCUAAAGAGAAUUCGAAGGAAACUAAUUAUUGUAGAUAUCCCUGAAAAAUUGCAAGCUAAUUAAGGGAAGACAUAUAAAUGUGUAGGAAUUAAUCACCAGUAGAAGAAUAAUGCAAAGUCUUUCUUGCUCACCUCGUGUAACCCCACUAGGCGCACCAGUAGUUACAGCAACUAAUUGCACAACAACGCAAUGUAUUGCAAGUUUGCAACCACCACAAGCCUGGCUCCUUUUUUGUUUUUUGAUCGCUUGUCUCCCUGCAGUGCUGACUGGGCACGGUAGGGGCAGGCAAAUUAAAAAAAAAAUUAGAAUCUAACUUUUUCCGAAAACCAAUAAUUGCGCCGGAACAAUUUAAAAAAUUUAUUUUGCUACCGUGCUGAAUUAGUACGGCAGAAAUAGUUUGAGAAACACCUUGUCAGAGCUACAUUUGAUGAUUUUUUUUUUAAUGUACAUUUUAAGAAAUUAGCCCUUUUCUUUCUUCCUUCUCUCUUCAACUCUGCAAAACAUAAAAAUCUCCUGCUAGGGAAAAAAAACAUUAAUAAAUAGUGAAUCUGACCUGAAGACCCGACCCGGUUUGGGAUUAUUGAGUUGGCAACGAGAGAAAAUUUUAAAUUUAUGAUGAUGCAUGCCUGGGAGACUUUGUGGCAACUGCUCCUAGCUAGGAGCAGCAAGGGUCAGCCGCAAGGGCGGGUCUAGGACCAAUCCAAAGCCGAGACAUGAGUGAGUGCCUCCCAUGAUGACGCUGCUCUCAAACACUCACUGCAACAUUGCACCGAGUUAUCUACAGAACUCAUUUGGGAAAACAUCCAAAGAAUUUUUAAUUGGGUUGCGACUUAACGUUUUCGAGGAUUCAGAGGAAAGCCUCAAAACCUUAACUCAGAUUCUACUAUUUCGGAUUAAAAACUCUCUGUAACUCUCCUCAUAAACUAAACAAUAGCAUACUGUCAUAUGUUAUACUCAAACUAUAUAUUUGUUGACAUUUAAAUAACAAUAAAUCCUUCCAGUAACAAAUUAAACACACAAAAUAUAUCCACCCAUAGGGUUUAUUAGUUUAUUAUUGCAGUGAGACUGGUGCAAGAAAAUGCGGCUAAUUCCCAGCUUACUCCAGCUUCCUCCAGGAUUCUACCAAUUUGGCCAAUGCCACAAUGGAUGAGCCCCCAUCAGCUAUUGCUUGCUUUGCUUCCUCCUUCUUUGCCUGGGCUGUUUCCCUGAUCACCUUUCCUUCCUCCGAAUCCAUCAACCCCCUAACUCGCUUCUCGAUUUCAGCCGCUUUCACGAACCCACCUUCCGUACUUUCAUCCAUUGGUAAGGCCAACUUCAUCUCCUCAACUAAGAACAGCCUAUUCAGCUUCUGCUCAGCAUAAAGUGGCCACCCCACCAUAGGCACACCCGCACAGACUGCUUCCAACACUGAGUUCCACCCACAGUGGGUCACAAACCCACCCACCGACCCAUGAUUCAACACAUCCACCUGCGGCGCCCAAGAACUCACCACGAAACCCCUACCCUUUGUCCGGUCCAAAAACCCGUGGGGAAGCAACAAAUCCAGAUCUGGGGCGGGUGGAGUUUGAAAGCGGCUGGUUUUGUCCUCAGAAGGCGGACUGCGCACCACCCACAGGAACUUUUGCUCGCUCCUCUCCAACCCGAUGGCUAUCUCUUUCAGUUGCUCAGCUGGAAAUUGACCCAAGCUCCCAAAGCACAAGAAUACAACGCUUCGACUUGGUUGCAUAUCCAGCCAUUUCAAACAUUCAUGCACACCUGCUGCACCUCCACCUUUCCCGUUGUCUGAUGCAAUCAGAGGUCCUAAGCUGAAAACAGGCGGAGUGGGGCCAUCCGGAACAUACUUUCCAUGAGAGAUUGAUUUCAAGAUGUUAUGUUCGAGCGAUUCGAACGUGUUGACUAGGAUCCCGGACGAUUUUGCCAAUUGCGUCGCAACAUCUAAGAAAAAUGCAUACUCAGGAGACGUUCUUUCCAGCAAAGGAACUGGCAUGUCUCGUGGUGGUAUCGGCAGUAAAUCAGGAACAUGUAAAAGUUCGUCCAGGUCUUUAAAGCUUUUGUUUGUUGAUUGGUGGAGCGUGGGUAAGUAAAGGAGGAGAGCGAGACAAUUAGCGCCGGAAGUGAAGAAGUAAUAAGUCGGGAUUCCAAGGUUGGUAGCAACAGAGAGGGCACAGGUGCAAAAGAAGUCGAUGAUGAAUGCAGAGAUUCCAGCUGUCAAGGAGAUGGAGUGCAGAGCUUGGUGAACAUGAGGGUUGCUGAGUCGAAGUAGCUCGAAGUGGAGAGCUUCCAAGGAGGGGUAAGAGUCAGGGUCAAGAGGCGGGGAGGGCAGGUGGUGGAAAGUGAUGGAAGGGGUGGUGGCAGAAAUGCGAUUCAUGUAAGCAGCAGUGGAGGCUGCGGUGUUGUAUGGCGGGUUCACAACGAGAAUAGUAACAGCCAAUCCAGGGUGGUGGUUGAGAGUGAACUUACCCAACUCUACCAUGGAAACCAGGUGACCCAUGGCUGGAGAUGGAUACAGAACUAUUGUAGGAUUGCUCCCCAUCUCUCUCUCUCUCUCUCUCUAUGUGUUCGUACACCCAAUUUCCACAAAAACUACGCAACUCUUUGAGCCAAUUGAGAGCUUCAAAUUUCCAAGAUCCAAAUAAAUAGAGAGUAACUCCCUUCUACUUUCCAUAGCCAAAAAAUGCAAUCAACUGACUGUUCUUUGUCAAGUCCCCGUAUGCAACAUCAACUUGUCUUUGAGCGAAAGUCGAGUCACCGUCAAAAAGGUCGUACAUCGCCCGAAAGGGUCUUUGAGAAAAAAGUCCAGUCAAUAUACUGUCGAUCUUGAAAGAAUAAUAAUUGUGUAAAUUUUAUUUUAUAUAUAUAUAUAUCAUAAAUUUAACGAUAAUAAUACUAAUAGGUUACAUAAGCAAAUAAGUCAUUAUUAUUAUUUUCUGGUGAAACCUUAAAUAUACAGGACUCUUUUGUUUUUUGCCCUUUUCCCUUGGCCCCUCUUGCCGUGCGAAUGCUACUGGUUUAUAAAAGGUUACAGAAGCACAUACGUCAUUGUUAUUUUCUCUUGAAACCCUAAACUGCCUUCAGUAGUCCACAAGAUACAAUAAUCUAAAAAAAAUCCGCCUGCAAAGAAAAUUGCCUGGAUCCUCCUCAGAACUCCUCAAAUCUCGUCUCAAUGGAAUCUCAGAGAGGUUUAUAUUUGAUUUAACUAAAAGUAUGUCCAGCAAACACUUUUCUUAAAUAGUCUGUUGAUGAAGGGUAAAUUAUAUUUUGAUUAAAGAAAAACAAAAGGUAGGUUGGAAAAAUAUGAUCCUGUAGAGGUGCUUUUCUUGUUAUAUGCCCGUUGGAUCCACUGGACGCGACUGGCAUUUUUUUUGUAAUUUAAAAUACAGAAUAUGCUGGCCGGUUAUCUAUUUUGUAGCAGGGACCAAUUUAUAAAUAAGGUUCUUUUUUUUUUUUUGGCCUUUUGAGCGAACUAAUAUGAUCAGAAUACAUGAUAGUGCUGGAAACACCUUUUUAUUUCAUCCCCAAGCUAAGUAAAAUCUUUUCCGGUGCUGCUGUCGAGUUCUUUUGAAAAUCACAUAACAAGUCAUGUAGAUUUUAAGUUAUUGUAUAUUAGUAAAUACAAAUUCGAUUUACAUUUAGAUAAAGGAAAAUAGUUGUGACACAAUUCUAAUACUAUACUUUCUUACGAGCAGGAAAGUUUUUAAUGAUUUUUAAUUUUUUUCCUAUCUAGAGAAAACAAAAGUCCAAACUUGAAAUAUAAUUAGAACAGAGAAAUACAAAAAUUAUAGAUUAUAUAGAGUAAUUAGGAUUCAACGCGUUGCAUACAAAAUGGUAAUUAUCUUAUAAUAGGAAAUUUUUAAAAAAUCAUGAGAAAGGGGCAAGGGACUUAAAUUCAAAACCUCUAAUUCUUGAUACUUCAAUCUUAGUCACUAGACCGAGGAUUUGAUAACAGAGAUGUAACAAAUUCAACACUAAGAAAAUGACCCACACACAACGAUAUAGAGUAAAAUAUACAGUAAACUUCUAUAAAUUAAUAUCUUCUAUUAAAUAAUAAUUUUUUUCAUCUCGACUUGGAAUAACAAGUUAAAUUAAUAAUUUUGAUGAAAUAAUAAGAUAAUAUAUAUUUUUUUGAAAACUUCAUCUAACCUCUUCAUCCUAUUCAUAUCAUAAAUUAACAAUUUACCACAAUUACAUUUCAUAUUUUUAUAAAAUACGAGUCUAUUAUUUUUCUUACAUUUUAAAUUUACCUAAAUCUCAUCCUUAGUUUUAUAUUCAUUAAACUUUUAACCUUCUUUUAUUAAUAAAUUAAUUCAUAUUUUUAUAAAAUAAAACAAAAUGGACCAUGUGGCUUCUGUUUUUGGUUUGCUUUAAUUAACUUUAAAUUGCAUACGGAGAAUGAAGGUCGAAAAGGUUGUUGAAGGGUUGGGUUUUAAAGGUUUUUGCCACUAUAACAAGCGAGUAUAACGUUCAGUUUGACUGAUCAGUUUACUCAAGAAAAGGAGGCUGGACACGGCAACCACUUUUAGAAAAGAGAAAAUUUCCUUAUUUAUAAAUUGGUCCAGAGAACUUAAAAUAAAUAACAAGCCCGUCAUGUCCAUUGGAUACGGUGAUCACUUAAAAAAAUAUAUUCUUUAUUUAUAAAUUGGUCCAAGGACCGUAAAAUAAAUAAGAGCAAAUUAUUUGAAUAGUUACUAAACUUUUUGAAUAGUCGAUUUUUGACCACUUAACUAUUAAUAGUAUAUUUUUAUCCACUAAACUAUCAAAAUUAUAAAUUUUGGACUAUUCCGUCUGACUCCACUAUUAAUUUUAACAAAUCUAACUAUUAAUAGUAUGUGUAAUAAAUUGUGCAGAUCAUUAGAUCGGGCAGAAUUAAUGGUUGGAUCAAAUGAAAUAGCAUAAAAUUUACACACUUAAUAUUUCAGUAGAUAAAAAUAUAUUAUUAAAUGUUAAGUGAUCAAAUCCUAACCACUUAAAAAAUCAAGUUGUUACCCUAGUAAUUUGCUCAAUAAAUAACCUACCGUCCUGUACAUUGGACAGAACAAGCUAUUUUAGAUUAAAAGUAUAGAAAUGUUGCCCACCUUGUUCAUUGGACAUAGCGGCCAUAUAACUUUUUAUCAAUUACUUGAAUAGACUCGAUCUAACAAGAAAAACACCUUUACAAGACAUUCUUUUUUUGACCUUUUUUUUUAAUCAUUAUUUCAAGAAAUUUGCUGUUAAAUCAUGUCUGCUUUGGAAGUAACCUCAUUAUGGUUGGGGAUAAAGGUUGAGAGGGCACUUUUUAUUAUUUUGAUUUUCAAAUGCAACCUUAUUUUCUAAAAGCCCUUAAGUAAAAAAAAUCACCAAAAUAUUCAAAUUAUAUGCAUGGGCAUAUCUAUAUAAAUUAGCACUAAAAAUUCAAACCCAAAGUUUCCCUAACAAAGAACACAGGAAAAAUACCAUAGAAAGAUUCCAAAGCCUACAAAAUGUUCAUAAUUAGUGCACGUAGAGCUCCUAAUAAGCAAAAGCAAAACCCCAGACUAUUGAGCAGAAAACCGCGGCAACUAUUACGGGGAAUAUUUGUAAAGUUUUAAAAACAUCACUUAUUUCUCUUACUUUUAUUAUUUGUGAAACAAAAUUUUAAAAACCCUGAACUAUAAUUUUACUCAUUUUGAUAAACAAAACACUCAUAAAUCACUUUGCUUGCUCCGAGGAAAACCACCAUCUGAAAACAAAUCUCUAGUAGGACCACCACAUCACAAAUUUAUGGUCCAUAAAAAUAUAAAUUUGAAAAACAAAAAUGAUAUUUGUAAAGAAAUGCGCUAGUAUCAAUUCAACUAUGUACAUUCAAAAUCAUUUUUUUAUGAACAUUAUUUUUUUUCUUAACCUCUUCUCAAUCCGUGGUUCAAACUUUUAAGUUGUAUUAAAUCAUUUUUUUUAUAAAAUAACUCAAAUUAAACAAAGAAAUUAUACUCAACUCUAUCACAAUCAUAAAAUGAAAAAAAUAAACAAAAUUCAAUUUACUAUAAUUUACAAAUUCAAAAUUCCAUAAUUAUCUAGAAAAAAUGAAUAAGAGAGAAUAUUAGAAAAAAGGGAAAAGAUAAGAAAGUGACGUAUUUUUUCCUUUAAUUUUUCAAGUUCCAUUUAUUUGAUAUGUGAAUUAUGUAUCAAGUGAGGAUUAAUGCAAUCAUUUUGCAAUUAUUAGGGGAGGUAAGUGAUUAUUUUUAAAACUUCAAGGGUACUAAAUAAUAUUAAGAGAAACCUCUGGGGAGGUUUCUGAUAAUAUCCCUUUCAAUUAUCGUACAACAUCAACAUGCUGACACCUCUUUCUAAUUUCCCCCAACUCAAAAAAUUGAUAGAGAUUUCUAAAGACAAGGACUCGCUUUUCUUUUCUCUAAGUCCUAGUUGACUUGGAUCUUAAUUAAUGGGCUUUCUCUUUCCAAAAACCACCAAAUGAGAUGGACGCAAGGAACCACUGGGCCAAUGGCUCAGUGGUCACCAGGGAGGGGCUUAAGUCCCUCCUCAGACUGUAAGUGAGGGUUCCAAUCUCACCUGCAGCGAAAAAAAAUCUAAAGAUUGUGCCACAGCACUCCCUUGGUCUAGUUGGGUCUGUAUACCCACUAGCCUACUACCACAGCCUCCUUAGGCUCCCCUUCCCCCUUAGAUAAGGAUAGAGUAGGUUAUACAAAUGUAUUUUUGCUGACAAAAAAAAGAAAAAGAGAUGGACCCAAGGCAAACAAGCUGAGAUCCAUAGGAUCAGAGUAAUCCGUGUACCAAAAGUAAGCUAUGAUACGAAAGGGAAUCAAUAAAUCAAAAAGAAGCAUCAAGGGUUUUUUAGUUGAAACAAACAAUAUAAUUCCUCUUUUUUUUCAAUUAACGUCUUAUAAAAGAUAUGCAUUACAUGAUUGAUUACGAGCAAACACCUUAGCAGUAUAUGACUCAACUGUUCCUGUUUACAUCUGCUAUCAAUAUGAAGCAACAUCUACCAACAAAAUGGCUUCUAUCAUUUCAGAGUUUAACACCAAUGAAUGAGAGUGCAACUGGAUAUGAAGCAACGGAAAGAUCCCCUGUAGCAUCACGAAUCUGUCAGCAAAGCUAAAGUUUAGUCAUAAAUCAGCAUUUUACAUCUUUAAGUUAAUUAAGUAGAAGAUAUUCAUUUUCCUAGAACACAAUUGAUACUAGACAGACGAAAUAAAGUCAGCCUAAAAUACCUUCGCGUACAUCAGAGGCUUGUCUAGCAAUACAUUGAUAUCAUCCAAGGCCUCUAACAUACUGAUCAAGAGUUGAAUUAAAUAGAUCACUUCUGCCCAAGAAAAAUGAAGAAAAAAAUUAGUUUAGCAUCCUUUAUUUUUUUUGCCAGAAAACAGAAACCGAAAAUUAUAUAUUUGCCUCCAAGUGUAAUGAACAGAGAUCAUUAUAAUCUGUUCUGACCUAUGAACACAUCCAUCACGUGCAGGAAACAUGCAUAAGACGCAUCAUCAGAAUACAUGUAUGAAGCCAUCAUGCAGCCUUAUUACAUGUCACUACAUCUCACAAAAAAUAGGAAAAGAAAAGGUGCAAAAGAUUUUUGUCAGAAAGAAAAGGAAAAAAUCUAUUCGAUGAGAUUUUAAAAUAAAUAUCUUCCCAAGGAAAUAGGUGGAAAGGUUUCACAAGAAAGUAGAAGAGAUGUCAACAACAGCCAAAUAUCAGGCAGCUUACGGAAGCAGUUAAUUCCUUUAAAUACUCACUAAACUAGGUACUAGAGAGACUUUCCUUCAGCAGUCCAUCAUUCUCUGCCUUUAACUACAUUAAAACCUUUGUACGUGUCUUUCCAAAAACUAUAAAAGACCCUAUUUGAUUCAAACAAACAACAAAAGUGAAGUUUGAACUUUGAAGAAAGAGCAGUAGAUUUAUGAGACAUCACGUUUAACAUCCACUGUUUAAGUUCAAAUCACAACUUAGAUGUGCAGGUCGAACCCCAUAUAAGUAAUGGGACAAAAAUUUCCACGCAUGAAACACAUAGACCUAUUUAAGAUCUAAAAAGUUAACAAAACAAAAUUUAAACUAGUUUUGCAUCACCAGAUGCACACAGACCUACACAUUUGCAGCCAAAGAAUUAAACAAUAACCGGUAUAAGUCAGAAAAGAAUUGACAAUGCACAUAUAUCAGCCAAUUAAUCAUUCUGUGUUAAGUACUGAAUGACACCCUGCGACUUACCUAAUUGGAUUUCCGGGUGAGUACAGUGGAUUCUUGACAACGUACUCGACAUACAAGUUGUAUAUGUACUUGAGGGAUUCCCUUAAAUCACCUGUCCUAGGAUGAGUUACCAGGAUGAUCUGUAAAACCAAUGAAUACAUGGGGAAUAAGAGAUUUUUAAUGUUAACAAGAGAGAGUUUUAAAACUUGACAUGGAAAAAAGUUAUGCUAACUGCCAGCAAGUGAUAGUCAGACAACAGAUAAAUGUCUUGAUACUCUUGCUACAUAGCCAUCUAUAUGAAUGCAAGCAUAUACACUCAUGCAAUCAUCUGGACAGACCUUAAUCCCAGAUGGACUCUCCAUGAAACUAAGUUUGUAAGUAUUAGUGCGGAAGCUGUGGAACGAACAUCCCUGUCCAGGUAAUUGUGGCACUCCAAGAUUUCCUUUAUCAGCGCUGCCAAAGAGAUCAAACAAUAAUGUAAGAAAGUCACUCUUAUUAGUAUGUCUUCAAAGAUAUGAUUGAGAAACAUUUUUAGACCAGGACAAUAAUGAGAUGCAAAACUAGUAUUCAGGAUUACUUUCAAUUUGACCAAAAAAUGACCAAUCCUUUCUGGUAAAAAUUCUCACAUCACACCAUCAAGCAGCUACUGUGGGUGGUCAUUUAAGGUGCACACAUAUUGACUCAUGAACUUCUUUAUAUACAUCAACAAAUGUACAUGUGUUUUAACACCAGCAUACUCUUCAAUCACUCUUCUUUUAUCAAAAGACUAACACCAUUACAAAAGAAUACCCAAACUUUAGUAAUGCCUAUCAAAGUACUUGUGAUCAUGAGGCAGAUUAUUAUCUUUCUCCUUAGGCAUGAACCUCAUUUUAAACUUGACAAUGACCUGACAGUCUGGUUGGAGAAAUGGAUCAUCUUUUUGGGAAUUAAAAAGCUAGAAAAGAAAAAUUGUAAUGCUAAUGCACGUUAUGGAGGCCAAAUUGAUUAUCAGACAACUUGGGGGGGGGGGGGAAUUGGGAUUAACCAAUACGUAAGUUGAAUCAAGCGUCAAGUGCAAUAACAAAAGAAAAAGGUCGUCUAAUUAUUAGAAACGAAAAAAUAAUUCCAAAAUUAUUUGAUCGAAAGAAGGAGAAAACAAACCUAGUUGGAUCCAUUUUGGCAGUCAAGGAUUUAAGAGAGAAGAGGAGACCGAACAUGAGCUUGUGAUCCUGCUGGGGGCUGAGAGUCUUAAGUGGCCGAUUCCAUUCCCUGUACAGCAGACAUACUCCAUUCCUGUUGAACACGUAUAGCAUGUGGGCGUUAUUCCCCGCUGCAGUCGGGACCGGCGGCGAUGGACUGAUCUCGGCUCCUCCGAAAAAUUGCAUGGUUUGGGAGAUACCUUUUUUCCUUUUAUCCUUGGGAGAUACUUGUGGAGUUGAGCAACAGGGGGAUGGGAGGAACGAGGAUGAGCAGCGACAGCUAGGGGCCGGGGAAGGGUAGUGGACAAUGGCUUGGCUUGGCUUGGCUGGCUGGCUGGUUAGAGAGGAGCGGAGGGGAUCGGGCUAUUAGGCUACUAGCAGUAAAUUUUACUACUGCUAAACUUUUUUAUGUUUUGUUUUUCAAGUUUGGGAUUAAAUUUGGGAAUCAUGGUUCCUGAAAACCUACCAAUCAUCAUUCCUCCCUUUCCUUUUUUUUUUUUUUCUUUUGGUGGAGAGACUGAAAACCUCCCAAUCUAUGCGGGUACAGACUGCAGAGUUUUGAUGAAUCUUUAAAUUUCUUUCCAAAAAUCUCAUACCCACGGCCACAUGGCCAUACCCUGUAGCCAAAAUCUUUUAAUUCCCACGCCUUUCUGCCAAGCACCAUGACCCAACAAAUUGGCUUGACUAGCGUUCAGUUGAUUCAACAACAACACAUUACAACAACAACAACAACUGCGACUAGCUGUAUUCACAAUUACUAGUGGCCGAGGCACACUUCUUGUGUGCACAACUAACAAAAAAAUUAUAUAAAUAUUUGUUAAAAUCAUUCUUAUGAGGCAAUUUUAUAUAUUUUUAAUGCAUAUGGUGAAAAAUUCACCAAAAUAAACUAUGCAAAAUGUAAAUAGAUAAUUGUUUGGCAGUGGGUGUAAUCAAAAGAGAGACAGAGGGAGCUAGUGAACAAUUAGUUAUAAAAAGUAAUUUAGAAAUAUCACAAAGUGACAGAUUUUAGUUUAAUCUCCUCCUUUUUAUAUAUGGUACAUAGUUAAUCAAACUUAUUGACUUGUCAAUGAUCCGAUGCUUCAAUCGGUGAAUUGGAAAAAAAAAAAAUCAUCAAUUAAGCUGCCGUCUAACCACCAACAUAAAAAUUAUAUUGUUUUUAUAAUUAAAAAAAUACAUUAUAAUAUAGCUAUUAUGCAGCCCACGGUUGAAUCGGUGACUCGAUGAUUGAGCUCCGAGUUGGGUUUAAUAACUAUGAUCUAAGUCAAUCUAGUUGAAAAUACUAGUAAUUGAGCAUAUUUUUUCCUUCUAUUUUUGGAAACUUACAAAAAGAAAAAUGGAAGUAUCGUCUUUCUUAAAAAUCAAUUAGUUUUUUAUUAACAAUAAAAUUGUGUAGCUUAGUCAUUCUAAGAAGGAUUAAACUUUCCUAUACCAUCAAUGUAGACUUUUUUUGUUUUAACAUAAUCAGAUUUGAAUAUAUGACACGUGUAAAAAAAGAAUUUCAAAUCUAAACUAAAGGUUAAUAUGCAUUGGUACAUAUCAGUGCCCAAAAAAAAAAUUGUACACCCAACACCUCAAGGAAGAAUAAUUCAUACACGAUCGUAGACCGCGUGCAAUUGCGAAUACGCGUGUUUUAAUCAUUUUUUUAGAGGAAAAGAGAUUAAUACGAACUUAAAAAUUUUAUGCAGGAAAGAGCUAAAUUUGUAGGAAGAUUAAACCCCAGUGAGCAGGGUUCACCCACUAGGGGCCGGUAACCUUUCCCCACUUCCUUUGUGUGCUUUUCUGAUUACCCUACAUUAUGAACUGAGGCUAGUCUUGGCGGACUUUUGUCUAUUUAUCAAUUGCAUACCAUCAAUUUAUUACGAACCUUUUUUUUAUCUUUCACCGAAAACCCAGAAAUGAAGUAGUAAAAUCCAUUCAAUGGCCAGAAUUCCUGGACAGUUUAGUGACCCUCUGCUAUAACUGCUUCAUGGGCCAAGGAAACUCGCAGACAGACAAAAUUUAAGAAGCAUUACCAAUCUAAUCGCAAUAGUAACGGCCAUAAAAAGAACAAAAUUUUCACAAACACCAUCGCUCAAUUUAUAUUUGCAAGUUAAAGUCAGAGUCAUCACAGCGGGGAACAGAAGACGAGAAAUAAAAACAUUCAUUCAGACUGGACCAAAAUUAGAAGUCCUGAACACCAAAGCAUUUGAACUAGGAAAAGACAGAAAUAUGUCACAAAACACCAAGAAAAUCAAUAUUCCCAUUUUUUCAUCUCCAUGCCAUCUGGAGGGCUUCCUUCAACCUUCUUUGCACCAACUUCUUUCCAGUUCGUUGAUAAAACUGUCCCAUUUGACUCAACCUGUUACACCAGACAAAAUAUUACUCCCAACCCAUCAAAAAGUUACAAGCAAACACUCGGGGAACCUGAAUUGAGAGGACCCAUUCAGCAAGGGCCGAAAAUCUUUCCAAGUUUCAAGGAUUAUUGUUGUUCAAAUAGAACAGCUACAAAGGAAAGUUAUAAAAUGGCAACGAGGAAAGGACCAUCAGAAAUUCUUAGGAAAUGGAGGUAAGAGUCUUACAAAUGAUUUCAUCAUGGCUCUUCUAGUGUCCUCAUCAGCAUCUUUGUAUAUGUCUCUGAAAAAUUUGUUAAGAGCUGCAUCACCAUCUAGUUUUUCAUCUUUUUCCUGAAGAUGUAAACAGAGUGAAUCAGCCAAAACACUUCCUAGCAUGUGCUACACGUUUCACCUCAAUGCAAAAGAAAAGACCAAUAGAAAUAGCAGAGAUAACAUGUAUACCUCCUUUUUCAUUUGAGCCUCAAGCUUAUCCCAAUCUUUUGUUGCUCUCGAGGAUGGGUAAGUGGGUCUUUGACUUCCUGCAAAAUGCAAAGGUACGACGGUAAAGCUUAUCAACUGUGACCAAUAUCUUAUCUCUGUAACAUCUUGGGAGAAUAAAUGCAUCUCAAGUUUGAGUAACUGUAAGAAAGGCAUAUAUACCUGACCACAUGGACAUUGACUUCACGAAAAAAGAACCAACAUAGACAGCACACAAAAACCAGUUUCUGUUCCACUUUUAAUUUCCGGAAAAAAACAAACUUCUUAACCAGGCCUACUGGUGCAUUUUCAGACAAUCUACCAGUGCACAGCAAUUAUUUCCAGGCUAGCAAAGAACUCGUGCAACUAAACCUACCUGAUGAAACAUUUAUCCUCUGCAAAGCCACAUUAUCCCUGCUAUACUCGAGAGACGCCCAGUGUAUAGCUUCAGCUUUUGCAAGGCAGAUUUCAAUUUUUGUGGACAGAACUUCAUAUCUGCAAUUUGCAGGAAUGAUCUGUUUAUAUGAAGACAACACCAAAGUCCACAAAAAAAUUAGAAAGUUAAUGUAAAAACAUAAUUUUCUGACACCAUAAAAAAAAGAACACGAUUUACAAAGACCCACUGGCCGUGCAUAAAUUAAUAGCAGGAAUGAAAAGCAGAGUUUCACUGCUUUAAAAGUCUAAUGAUGAUUUAUAGUAAACUCAGGUUUUUUAUCAUUAAUAAUUCCUAAUCAGACACAUGUCGCUAAUAUUUUUACCCAUGAUGCAUACACUAGUUCAUACAAAACUCAGUCUCCUGAUGUUUCAACAUGCCGAUUGACCAAAGAAUAGUUCCAGCUACCAUAUGACAGUUAAGUGUUAUGAGACACUAGAGAGCAGAUAUCUCUUUGCCAGAACUAUAAUAUCAAGUUAACAUUUUACCUUUCCAAACAAUCGUGGUUGAAAAGUAUAUGUAUCUUCACCAGGCACAUCAAUAGUAACACUAAGCUGCAAAGCAACAAAAAGGAAAAAGGAAAGUCAAACCAUCUUAAGAACAUUAAAUGGUGUGAACCAUGUUUAAGAAUCUAUAGAUAUCAACAGAAAGAAUGAACAUACUAUUUGUUCACCAAAGUCCACUGUAACAUUUUUUGCUGGUAUACCCUUUGCAAAUAUAGUUACAACAACUUGCUCUGGUUUUUGAUAAUAUUCAUGCCUGCAACACAUAAUUUUUAAGCAUAAGUAUCCAAUUAAUCAUCAGAAACUUGAAUCUUAAUCAAUUCAAACUGUUAAGGCUCUAGAAAAUGGCAUGCCAACAAAAGGUGGUAUUACGAAUCUAUCAGCAUGUAUAAUAAAAAACUUUCCAACAAUUAGCUAAAUGGUCAAUCAACAUCAAAGUAACACUACUAAUGACAGACUGCUUAAUACUUUAUUGGCUUGCCUCAUAGAGGAACCAUUGGCCAGGUUAUGAGAUCUGACCAACCAUGGCUAUGGUAAACAUUCCAAUGUUGCAACAGGUUGUAUCGAGUCUUAGAGGAUGCCAUAUGGAAGAGAAAAGGGAGAUACAAGUUUGCAAUAACCUGUAUUUUGACUUGGCAGAUGACAAACUAGUAGUCUGGUUGGAUAUACUGAUGGCUGGCUCAGCAACCUUCGGAAUUGCAGCAGUUGUAUCAACAACUAUUGGGGCCUCCGGCGAUUUGUUUGGCAACACUCCAUUUUCCUCUUAAAUUGAAAAGGAAACAAAAUCAGAAAACAAAUUAAGUUACAUAAAGAUUACCUAGAAUGUAAUAGAAGCUAUUUUGCAUGUAAGCCACAACUUUAAAAUUUCAGAGAUAAGCACAUAAAGAUAUACAUACAAUUUUUUUUUUUUGAAAAAAAAAAGGGCAACAUUUGACAGACAUCAAAAGAAGCUCCAUUCGACUGCAUGAAAGGUGCAACUCACACCCAACUAUCAAAAUCCCAGCCAAACAAAAUCAGUGGUUCUCUUCAGAGCUUGGCAGUUGGCAGCCUUUUCAGCUUCCGAUGGACUCAUAUGAGGUCAUUAAGCUGAUAUAACGUACGCAGAUGUACAUACAUGCACAAAUAGUGGGAGUUUUAAUUCUUUUCUUUCAAGCAUGCUCCUAGACAACCCUUUUUUUGUAUUCUAUAAUGACUCAGCUUAUUAACCCUGGCAUUCAACUUCAUAUCAUGGGGAAGUCUCUUUUGAAAAAGAUAUAUACCAUCAUGAUAUUCCAUAAAUUUCAAAUUAAGGUAUGUGGUCAAGGAGGAGAAACCAGUUUCCCCACCGCAAAAUUGAUCUAUGAGCAAGAGGCGUCCAUAAUCUUAAAAACAAGUCAUGGACAAUGACAUUACUAUUAUCCUACUACAAUCAUGUCAAACAGCAGAACUGUCAAAUUAAGCUACAUAGUUGUGAAGGAGAAACCGGUAUCCCCACAAUGUGAAUUGAUCUACGAGAACAAGGCACCAAUAAUUUAAAAACAAGUCAUGGACAAUGACAUUACCAUUAUGCUAUUAAAAUCUAUGCCAAACAGAAGAGUUGUACCUGCAAUGCGCUGGUCACAUUCUUUAAUCAAAUUAUUGAAUCUUGAGUCACCAGGUGCUAAAGAAGCACCCACUUCCAAAGCUGUCUUGGCAGUCUGGUAUUCCUCAAGCUUGAUGCAGGCGAGACUGUAAGGAAAAUAAAUGCUACUAGUCAUUCAUGAGGAUAAUCAUAAUGAAGUGCAGUUGGACAGUUGUAUACACUUGAAAUUCAUUCAGUGCCAUAAAUUAAUAUGUGUAGCCAACUGAUUUUCUAAUGGCCCAAUAAGGGAAGCCACAAGAUAAUCUCCGUGUGGAAGCUGGACAAAGUUUUCAACAUGGAUAACCGCAUAAAAAGGGAGGUAAGUCUCAAGUGAAAAGAAAGAAAUUUUAAAAAAUACAGAGAGAACAAAACAAGUCCUGGGCGCAAACAGCAACAAUGCCAAGAAUAUCAGUAAAGUAAGAGGCAUAGAGAUGCACCAAAAUACUCACCCUUUCCGGAAAUAUGCUUUGGGCAUGGAAGGAUCCAAUUCAAUGGCCUUGUUCGCAUCAGCAACAGCUUCUGCUCAUGGGAAUCAAUAUUCAUGUAUUAGGGCACACAAAAUACAACACAACCAAUAUAUCUGAACCAGCACUCCUCCAUAACAUCCAUACAAGACAAAAUACAAAAACCUUUCAUGUUUAGUGAGUUGGUUCGUCCUUUUAUCAACUCAAGAAGCAUUACCAAUUCCAAACAAGAAAAAAAAAAUUAAAUUUUCUAGAGUAGACGAAUAAAAGUAAAUAAUAAAAUCUGUCUACCGUGGUGUGAACAGUUUAAUGAAGUGAUAUUCGAUCAACAAGAAAAAGUCGCAAAAAAGUCAAGUGAGAAGGCAAAACUAUAUGUCAGACAUUUAACUAAAUCUUUAGACAUUAAAACGAGAAACAAAACGUGCCAAAAAAGAUGGUUGAGCUAUUGAAGCAAGCAACCUUCCUACAUAUGCAACAUGUAGAUAAGCAACAAUAGAUUAGUCGAAUAGAUCCCAAAAAUAGGAAUACUGUAUAGCAAGCUAAAUAGGAAUACUGUAUAGCAAACUAAAUAGAAAUACUGUAUGUUGAAUUUAAAUAAGGAUUUCGUCGCUCCUAAAAAUAUACAACCGAAAAAAAAAAAAAAAGGAUUUCAUCGGAAGAAUAAAAUACCGGUGAAGUUGUUGAGUUUGAUGUUGGCUUGAGCGCGAUCAGCAAAGAGCUCAGCGUUCGUAGGGCUAACGGAGAUGGCUUGAGAAUAGAGGUCAACGGCCAGCUCGAAGUGGUCGUCGAUGAAGGCUUCUUUAGCCCUGGUCUCCAGAUCCGACGAUGCCAUGGUUCGCUUCUCAGAACAGAGCAGAGCAGGACAGGAUAGGACAGGAACAAUCUCGCAAAUAGAUAAAAAUAGAAGGCUCUAGAAAGGGAAAAGCGCACAGGGCUUUAUCACUCUACUGGAACACCGCCGAUGCUUGACUUCAAUCACUAAUAAAAAUACUUAUGCUACCGCUACCAAGAUACCGCCGAUGCUUGGUUUCAAUGACUAUAAUAGACUAGUAUUCGGUUUGUUUAACGGGUAUAUAUAUAUAUAUAUAUGGGGUUCUCGUUAACAAAAAUAUUUUAGAUGUGAUAUUUUUAAAAAUAUUACAUAAUUUAAAAAAUUAAAUAAAUAUAAGGAAGCAUAAGCAACAUUAAAUAAAAAAAGUAUAUAAAUUCAAUUGAUCAUAAAAAUUGUUAAUAUACUUAUAUAUAUAAUAAAUUAGCUGAAUACUAGAUAUGAUAGGACAUUCAUUCAAAAAAAUCUAUAAUAUAGUAUAUAAAUGUGAUAAGACAUCCGUUCAAAAAAUUCUAUAAUACAGUAUAUAAAUCCAAUUGAUCAUAAUAAUUGUUAGUAUACUUUUAUAUAUAUGUAUAUAUAUAUAUAUAGUAAGUUAAGUGAAUACUGAAUGUAACAGCGCAUUCGUUCAAAAAACUCUAUAAUAUUUUACGGGUUUUUUUUAAAUUUUUUUUAUUUACGUUGUUAAAAGUAUUUUUACUAGUACUAUACCACUGCAAAUUGCGAACGUUUUGGGAAAAGACUGGGAAACCCUCUUGUGAAUCCAAUUAUUUGCGAAGGUUGUGGGAAAAGACAGGGAAACCCUCAAUUAUUUGGGGAAAAGACCGGGGAACCCUCUCGUGAAUGUGAAUGCCCAAUUAUUUGCGUAGUAAGAGUGGUAUAUAGCUUUUUCCUUUGAUUUUUAUUCUAUUUUCCGAUAGACGUCAAUUGUUUAUGGAAAAAAGCUGUCCAUUAGUUGUUGAACGUUAUUAUAAACGGAUAAGCCCUAUCCGUUUAGAAUAUUAGGGGUGUUUAUGGAUCGACAUCAAUACAAUUGUAAUUUCACAGACCUAGUUGCAUAUUUUGAUCCAAUAUAAAAUUUCAUUUCGUUUACUAACCCUAUUCAACUAAGUUAACCCGGCAUGGAAUAUGGUCUAACCUGUUCAACUGGUAAAGAAAACGAUUGUACAACUCAUAUCCAAAGUAUAAAGGAGCAGUCAAUCUCACAGUACUAAAAGUCCACCAACAAAGUACAUGAUCAAAAGACAAUUAAAAUGCUAAAUAUUUCGAACAUUUAUUUUAUUUUUGUCUUCAUCCGUUUUAGAAAACUAUUAACUCGUUCUUUGAUAAAAAUGUAAGAAAAUAAAGAUAAGCAGAGUGGUGGAGUGCACAGAUCUUAUGAUCAAGGAAUAGAAAAUUUGGACGGUGAGAACGAGUUAGAAUUAACUGGUUAAGUAAAAAAGUUGCAAAAAAAAAAUAUAAAGAUAUGAUGAGUCUCUUAAUUUACUUGUAAACGAAUAGAUCGUUAAGUUUUGAGAUUUGCAUGCGGGUUACCCUAACUAACCCUGUACAUAUGCAGGAAUUGCGGUUAAAAAAAAAAACCAUAGUCGUAACUUUUCUUUUUUUUUUUUUUAAGGAUAGGUUCAAGUAAUUUAAUCAUUUUGGGAGAGGAUUGAUUUGAAUGAUAAGGUGCGAAGGAUUAUAAGUAGGAGGUUUUGAAACCUUCCACUUAUCAAAAGGAGAAAAAUCUGAUCAUUUUCAAAUUUGAGGACAAUUACCAUAUAUAUAUAUUAAUUUUGUAGGUAGUUAGCAUAUUUUUCAAUUUGAACCAAUUCGAUAAUCUUGACUAGCCACUUUUCUAGUUUGUUGUUGAACACCCCAACUAAUGGUUUUAUAAGAAGCCUAAUGCUAUCUAGUCAUUGAUACACACUUGAUGCAUAUGUACAUUAAAAAAAGAUUUAUCUUGAUCCGUAAAUCAUCAUUUAGUGUAAAAAACAUAUGAAGUAUAGUGAAGAAGAAAGUGUACGAGUAAUUAGUUGUGAUGAAAACUAAUUAAUAACCUACAUAAAAUCGUGAGAUAGUAGGCUAUGAAUGAAAAAGCCAUCAGGCGAUCAAAAGUUGUUGAAUUCGUGAAAUCUGCUUUAUUCUUUACAAAUGGGUCAUCACAUUCACAUAAUCUUUGCCCAAAAAAAAAAAGGGUAAUUUGCAAAACCACUUCAUGAUACAUGAAAACUUUAGUAAAUAGAGAAAAUUUAAGGCCCCCUUUUGGAUUGCAAGUUGUCAGAAUUUUUAUAGGAAUGAUAUAUCAUAAUCAUGUGAUGUAUAUAAGAUGAAAAAUACUCCCUCCGUUUCACUUUGAUAGUUCUAGUUCCUUUUUCGUACAGUUUACGAAAAAGUAGUUAACUUUGUUGGAACAAUCAAUUUAGAUAGCUAUUUUCCUAAAAUACCCUCACAUUAAUUAGAGUACAACUUUAUGGGAACUUUAAUUGAUGGUAAAAAAAGAAUAAACUCUCAUUAAAUGGGGUACAACAACUUACAUUGAAUAAGGAUAUUUUAGAAAAAUUAAAAUACAACUACAUUCUUCAAUUGGAAAGUAGAUUACAAUUUGAGACAGACGAAAAAGGAAAACAUGCCUAUCAAAGUGGAACGGAGGGAGUAUAAUUAAGAAAUAUAUGAAAAAUUUUUUGUGCCAAAACUUGCAAUCUAAACGAGGCAUUAGUAGCCAACUAGCCAUCUAACGAGUUUUCCAAGCUCCGCGUUUGCCAAUCGAUUGUGCAACUCGUUCAUCGUGUGAUAAAGGAACGGCAUCUUUUUAGUUUUUACCACUAAUCGUCUGGAAAAUACUCAAAAUAGAAGGCACGUUUGCUUGAAGGCUAGAAGCGUCAACCGGUAAGCAUCUUCUUUCAGACUUCUUAGCUGCUUCCUCAUUUGGCAUGUGAAUAGUACACGCCUCGGUAAAUGUUACUAUGGCCGUGUUUGGUUUGUAAUUUUUUUUAAAAGAUUUUUUGAUAUAUUUUUUAAUUAAUUUUUUAAUUUACAUAUAUUAUAAUGUAUUUUUUUUUAUAAAACUUUUAAAAAAUAGGGCUGUGUUUGGAUCAAUUGUUUUUGGAAGAAACUGAGUAAUUCAAACGGUCUUAAUUAAUUUAUUUCCUUUUUAAGCCAUUCAAAUUUGUUUUGAAAAGUUUCACAAUAUGUCAUGGCGAAAUGCCUUGAGGCUUUCACACAGGACAGGACCACACAAUUUCGAAGAAACCUGCUCAAAGAUUGUAUCAUAUUGCAAUAAACAAUUACUGAAAGAGGGCAUUUGUGUCCACAGCCCAAUUAUCAAAGCGGGUUUUCAAGAUAAUUUAUGGAUCAGCAAUAACUUGCUCGCUCUAUAUUCAAAAUGCUAUGGAGUUGUUCAUGCACGCCACUUCUUUGAGGAAAUGCCAUACAAGGAUGUUGUGUCCUGGUCUGGAUUGUUGUCUGCUUAUGUCAAAGAUGGUUGCUACGAGGAAGCUCUUGAGCUGUAUGAUUUGAUGAAGUUUUCUGGGGAAUGCCCAAAUGAGUAUACGCUUUCGAUUGUGAUCAGGGCCUGCUCAGCUCUUCGGGAUUGUAACCAAGGAACUAAAGUCCAGGCCUGUGCAACAAAGAAUGGUUUUGAUUCAAAUCCUGUUUUAACUAGCAGUUUGAUUGAUAUGUACUCUAAAUGUGAUAACAAAGAAGCAGCACAGAAGAUAUUCAUGAAUAUGCGGAAUGGUGACACUGUUUCUUGGACAACUAUGAUCUCUUCAUUUAUCCAAGAGGGGAGCUGGAUUACUGCGCUGCGACUCUUCAUAUGCAUGAUCAAACGAGAAAUUCAACCAAAUGAAUACACGUAUGCAAAAAUUUUGAGCGCAUGUGGUGGUCUUACUUAUUUAAAUUCUGGGAGAUUAGUCCACGCCAGGAUGUUAGUCUUGGGCAUUCGGCUGAAUUUGGUUUUGAAGACAGCUCUUACUGACAUGUAUGCAAGAUGUAAGAGAAUGGAAGAUGCUAUGAAGGUCUCAAAGCAAACUCUUGAGCAAGAUACAGUUCUAUGCACAACACUAUUGAGUGGCUUUUGCCAUAACUUGGAGAUCAAGGAGGCUGUUGAUGCAAUACAGCAGAUGGUGGCCCAUGGGAUCACUCCAAAUAGUUAUACAUAUGCUGUAGUCUUGAAUGGCUGCUCAUUAGCUCUGACAUUGCAAUUGGGGAUACAAUUUCACUCAAGGGUUAUUGAGAUUGGCUUGGAAAAUAAUGUUUCUGUUGGAAAUGCACUCAUUGAUAUGUAUUUGAAAUGUUCUGGUGGAAUAAUUGACGCUUUUAAAGUAUUUGAACAAAUAAGGUCACCAAACAUCAUCUCUUGGACUUCCUUGAUUGCUGGCUUUGUUGAACAUGGUCUUGGAUACGAGGCUUUUCAAGCAUUUGAAAAGAUGCAGUUUGCAGGGAUAAUGCCAAAUUCUUUUACCUUGUCCAGUAUCCUUCAGGCUUGUGGAAUGAUGAAAUCUGCAAAUCAUACAAGAAGGUUUCAUGGAUACAUAAUCAAAAUGAACAUUGGCCAUGAUAUAGUUGUGGCGAAUGCUCUUGUUGGUGCCUAUGCUGGACUCCAUAUGGUUGAUGAUGCAUGGCGUAUAAUAGGUGAAAUGCAUCAUAGAGAUGUUAUCACAUAUACAAGCAUAGCGAGCAAACUUAACCAAUUAGGACUUUUUGAAAUGGCUUUGGAGGUGAUCAGUUACAUGCAAGAAGAUAACAUUGAGAUGGAUGGGUUUACCCUGUCCACUGUCUUGUCAGCAUCAGCCAGCUUAGGUGCAAUACUGCAGGGGAAGCAACUUCAUUGUUACGCUAUUAAAUCUGGCUUCAGUGGCUGGACCUCAGUCUCAAAUGGUUUGAUUGCUUUUUUUGGCAAAUGUGGGUGCAUGCAUGAUGUAAAGAGAGCCUUUGAUGAAGCUUGUCAGCCAGACGUAGUCUCAUGGAACAGCUUGAUUUUCAGCCUAGCAGUUAGCGGUCACUUCUCCUCUGCUCUCUCCACUUUUGAAGACAUGAAGUUAGCAGGAGUUAGACCUGAUUCCACAACAAUAUUGGCGGUUCUAUCUGCUUGCAGACGUUGUGGUUUGGUUGAUAUGGCUUUAGAAUAUUUUCAUUCUACUAGAGAAGCAAAUGAUGCAGUCCCAGAAUUAGAGCAUUACGUUUGUUUGGUUGACCUACUAGGCAGAGCUGGCAGGAUGCAGGAGGCAAUGGCUAUAAUAGAGACGAUGCCUUUCAGGCCUGAUGCAUUGAUCUACAAAACAAUGUUGAAUGCCUGCAAAAUACAUUCAGAUGUACCCCUUGGUGAAGAAAUGGCAAGUCGAGGUCUUGAACUUGAACCUUGUAAUCCAGCAUUUUAUUUGCUUCUUGCAGACAUGUAUGAGAACUCCGGCAAAUCUGACCUAAGAGAGAACCUGCGCAUGAUGAAAGAGAGAGGCAUAAUACAGAAAGAUUAUAGCAAUAGCUGUAUGGAGAAAAGCAACAUGGUCCCUCUGUUAAUUGCUGGAGAUGUACCAUCUUAACAUGAUACUUGAACAUAGCAGACAGAAUGUAAAGCUAAAAUGGUAUUCAUACAAAUGCUCGUGAGAAUCCUAAUCUCACAGUCUCAGAUUGGAAGUGGCACGUGGUCUUCUUUACAACAGGUUUGUAAGCAUCCCAGACAAUUUGUCUAUGCUUAUCAUGAUUUGUUGCGAAGAAGGCAACACAUGUUGAUAUUAUAGUUUCCUCGACAGACAACAGCUUCAGUGUUUUAAUGAGGUGAAGGUCCCAGUAAAGCUUACUGGAUGUGGUAUAAGCAAGAUAAGGAAAUGAACCAAUUGUGACCGAGCUGCUUUCAGAAUUCAGACAGAAAGAUGUUUUUGCUUCAUGAGAUGCUGAAAAGAUACAUUCUAACUGGCAAGUAACUUCUUUUUUUUUUUCUAGAUUCAAGUUCAUAUAACCGUCUCUAUUGUCAUUUUUCAGAGUUUCUCUGUUUAAAAAACUGUACUGGCUGGAGGAGAUUCUUUGACAACUAGUCAACUACAGUGAGGAGGUGAAGGAAUGUUAGCUAGCAGAAAUUUCGGCUUUCGGACCAAUGGCAACAACUCGUUUUUCAUUUACUUUGGAUUGAGGGAUAUGGUCGAUUUGGAUUUGAGAUUCUUAUCCAAAUCCUUUAUAUAUCUGGUUUCCCAAUAGGUAUCUGGAAUUCUGGACUUGAAAUCCAACAUAAAAUUCAGAGGGAUUUUGGGAGUUUAAAAUUACUCGAUUUCAAAUUCUUCCAUAUAGAUGUCAUUACCAUUCUCAAUCUUAGACCUUUCUCGUUUAAGGUGUAUUUUCUUGUAGCCUACUGUUCUGUGAGCAUGUACAAAUCAGGGAAAAAUGGCCGGCGGCCAUUGUUGCCUGACAACGACAGAACAGCUAGGUGUAGACUAAGGAAAGGGCUAGAAUUUGAGUGCCUCGAUAUUUGGUGGAUGCGUGUGUGAUACAGAAGUUAUGUUGGCAAUUAUUGCUAUCGCCAUGCAGGAAAGGCGAAAAGCGCAGAGACAGAAGCAGCACAGCUGAAACGGUGGAAGGCUUCUUUGUCGAGAAGAAGAAAUGAAAAUGGAAGUAGGAUGUAUGCGAGCCGAGCUACUCGAUGGCUUGGCUUGAACUUGGUUUGAUCGAGUUCGACCGAGUCUCGAGCCUACUCGAUUGGUUUUCGAGUCGAGUUUCGAACCAAUAAUUUGAGGAUUGAGGCUUGUCGAGCUACUCAUUGAGUCGGGGUGUAUUUAAAUAAUAUAUAUAAUUUAAAUAAUAUAUAUGUAUUAUAAUUAUAAAAUGACCGUUAUGAGUAUAAUUUAUAUUGAAUUUACAAUAUACUCUUCUUUAUAAUAAAAUUUCAUAAUAGCAAAAAAGUAAUAACAUAAUUGUAAAAAGACCUAAAAAGAAAAAAUGUCUAGGAAAAGGGAAGAAAAUAAGGUUCAGAAGCUUUUUCGAGUCGAGUCAAAAAGCUUGAUUAGACUCGACUUGAUAAAGUUUGACUAAAAGUCAAGUCUUAUCGAGUCGAGUCUCGAGUUUAAAGAAAGUUCUUCGAGUCGAGUCUCGAGUUACAAUUUUUUGGACUCGAUCGAGCUCGAACCUAGGUACACAUGAGUCGAGUCGAGCUCGAGUAUAGCUCGACUUGGCUUGAUUAAAUCCCUAAAUGGAAGUAGACAUUUGCCCCUGAAUGUGUUCAUUUCCUACCCCAAUAUUUUUGUAAAUUCUAAAUUCUCCUGUAAAUAAUGCAUUCAAUUAUACUCGAGCUCCACUUGGCUUGAUUACAUCCCUAAAUGGAAGUAGACAUUUGCCCCUGAAUGUGUUCAUUUCCUACCCCAAUAUUUUUGUAAAUUCUAAAUUCUCCUGUAAAUAAUGCAUUCAAUUUGGAAUAUUUUCCUAAAUCCAAAUUCACAAUUCAAACGGUCCCAAAAUGAAUAAAGUUUACCGCAUAGGCAUCCCGCAUCCCAUUCCUUUGCACUUCAAGAGCACAUCAGUCAUUCUGACAUCUACACGCUAUGGAGUGUUGUUGAAUCUUGACCAACAAAGCUACUUAUAAAAUGUUAAAAAUCCUUGCUUCAAAUUGGUUCAUCCAACCUCUGUCCACUGGUUCGGGUCUGGAUCCUCCGAGGGCAUCGUCAAGAAUGAUAUCAUCAGCGCCGAUGGAUUUUGUAGUUAGUUUGGACCAUAACCCCGAGGCCUGAGGAUGGAGUUGACCAUGCUGCAAAUGUUAACAACAAAAUAGUGGGUUGAAAGUUGACUGCUAAAACAGGGUUGACCGAAGCUUGAUCAUAACACAUGAACAGGUUUCUAAGUUGGAAAAUCCAAACUUUUUAAUUUUAGAAAUUCUCAUGUUGAUGAUGUCACACCUCUUUGAAUUUAGAAAUUCCUAUACUUGUAUUUAUCACUCUCAGUUGCUUUUUUUUUUAAAAAUAAACUCAUUCAAAUUAAUAGACAUGCUAAUUGAGCGACGCUACACAUCCAAGCACAGUUUCAAGCUCUUUGUUUACAUUAUCGUAAUGAACAACUACCAAAAUUUGCGCCCAUUGGAAAGGCCCCAAGUUAUUAAGGUACUCAGUAGUCAGCCCCCAAGUUAAUUCAUGCCAAUUCAAUUUAUUCAAGUUUAUUUGUUGGAUUGUAGGUCAUGUAGGAAAGCAGCGUCAAUCGAUCCUUCUCAGGUGGUCGGCAAGUUCUAUUUACCCUUUAGAAUAUUCCUGCCAACAACUUACAAAAGAACGUGAACAAACAGAAAGAAGUAAACUGUUCUUGAUCAUCAGCUACACAACCAUAUACUGCAAGAGUUUUUGCAAGGAAAGUAAUAGCAAACAGAAACACCGGUUUAAAGUAUUUCAACAGAAAACUGGGGACAAUCAACAUUCAAUCUAACUUUGAUGACCACCAGUUUAACUGAAAAGGUAAUAUAUAUGGUCCACUUUCUAGUCUCCUAAGAAAACUAAAUUGUUCAUGUGAAGGGGCAACGAAGGUCAAACGGAUCCCAAACUUGAGCAGGGUCAGCACAUAAAUAUAAUACAUAUAUUCACAAGGAACCCCCUCAACUUCAUAGUGAUUCAAGGGAAGGAUCAAUUAAGCUGACAGCAACAGUUUAACUACAUGAUAGCCAACCAACAGCAAGAACUCAAAUGAGAAACAAUAAGAAAUAAUGGCGCCUUGGGACAUGGGUGAAAUGGGCAUACUACCCUAAGUUGUUUAGUUAAACCAGAAUGCGGAUAGCUGCGGUCAAAUUUGGUAAAAGCCACUCAACUUCCGAUUAUUAACUAGUGGUUCAAUCUUUAAUCCCACAGAUAAACUCCGAUCCGAUCCGAACAGAACUGUUUUUGUGAAAUUACAAAAAAAAAGAGGGCACCAAUCAGUACUAAACUUGAUGUGGCUCGGCAAAAAGAAGAACAAGCCAAAAGAAGAAGCUGUGGAGUGCUACUUAGAUUGCUGCUCGCCAGAUGCAAUUGCAGGCUCAUCUUUCUCUGAGCGUGAAACAGCAUCUUCCAAAGUGUUGGUAGAAACGGCCUCAAGCGUCCUAUAAAACUCUUCAGGAAGAGGUCCAGGUCGAUGCAAGGGUAUAUGCUUUGGAACUGGAGCAUCAUUUUCGAUAACUUCACAUUCAUAAUCAUCUGGGAUACCCCAUGGUUUCCACUCUGCACUUGAAACAAAGACACCCAAGUGACCAAAACAUCAAAUCGGCAAUAUUUAACUGGAGACUUCCUCCAAUAUUAGAUGGCUCCAGUUUCAAGCCAUUUGAACCAGUAUAAACUUGGAAUUGGCAUCAAGAUUAGUAAAGAUAACGACUCUGGAGUGACAAUAUCAGAGUAGAAAAAGCAUUACAUCCUCUCGACAUUUAGAACAUCUACGUUUGUCAAAUGUGGUUUGAAAAUUUAAAUACAUAACCACCAAUACAACAAGACAAAUAUAGACAAUAGCCAUGAAGCUGAUCAACCAAGACCAGCAAAAUACUUCUUUUGUUGACUAGAUCAUGCACUCCCAAGUCACAGAUCAAUUUGCGAUUAGUUCACGUCAAUUUUUCACUGUUUACCAUUUGAAAAGGAGCAAAAUAGAAGAAGAGAUGACGAGAGCUUUUACUUCUUGACUCACUCAAUAAGACAUUACUACUUAAUAGUUUGCUCGCUCAAUUCUAUUAAACUAGGGUGCUUGGUUUCUUCUGACCUCUAACUAGACAUAUGAAGGAACCUUGAGGUUCUUCACAGCUGCCGAGAAAUCAGAUAAGAAAGCAAAUUGCAAUCCAGAUUCUCAUAAUCAAUUAGAAAACAGAUUGUUACAAAUAUUACUAAUACCAACUCAUCAAACAAUUACCACUACCCUACUCCUAAGAUAACCAUUCACCUAUCAAAACCCAAAGUUCUAUUUUAUGCUCUGACCACUCCCCGGAAAACUCCCAAGUCCUUUCAAAGAAGUAAAAAAUAAUAAUAAUAAUAAUAAUCAGUGGUCAAUGCACAAGAAUAGUUAACAACUCUCUCUAGCUCCACUGCCCUCAUCAUCCCCAAAACUAAAAUGUCUAUAGAUUCAAAACUGAAUAGGAUGAAAGCUUCCAAUGUCAGCCCAAGUCUUCGAAAACUUAUAGCAAAGAAGAUGCAAACUUAAGCUUUUUUUGAAACCGUACAAUGUCAUCUUCUCAAAAGCUCGUUCUAUAUCCUCAAAAAAAAAAAAAAAGGAUAGAAGACCAAGCAGUAAGAAAGCAUACAAUUAACUGUAGAACAUCCACUAUUUCCCAAAGCAACACCAUUUUCCCCCUCCCUCCCCUACAAACAGACCACAAACUUUCUCAAGAGCAAUUAAACCAACCAGAAAAUUUUAUUUGAUCACUUUUAAAAAAAAAAAAAAAUUCACGGCAGAUGCAGGGAAAAUGCCACGCAUUUAAAUAAUAAUAAUAAUAAUAAACAACGGAAGCGACUAGAAAAUCAUUCUUAAUUAUUUGAAAAAAAGAAAAUGAAAUGUAGAAUGCGGAUACCGAUCAUGUGGCCGAUGAGCUUGAGUUCAUCCUUAGCCUCUUCAAUAAGCUCUUCGACCUGGCCGCAACCCAGACGCUUCUCGAUCGAUUCCCAGUCCUCUUCCUCCCGGCACACCUUGAGCCGGUGGCGGGUGAAGCUUUCCACAGCCUUACGAUAUCCUUCAUCCUCGGGGACGGCCUUGAUCUCCUCUAGGGUUUUGCUAUACAGACUGAUUAAAACCUCCCUAGCAUUUGGCACAACAUCUAGCCCUACGAUCCCCGUCGUCUCCUUCACCUUCGCCAUCAUCAUUAACGGCCGAGCCACCCUCCGCAGAAACAUUCUGACUCGCUCUUUCUCUGGACAAGUUGACUCGAUGGGCAGAUCGUUCUGUGGCUCGCUUGCUCACUCAGUAUUGGAAUGGAAGUCAGAGCUGAAGUCUGAAGAUUACCAAGCUACACUCCGAAUUGGUUCCCUUUACUUUUCCAGUAAAAGGUGCGAGUUACUCAUUGGGCCAUUUUGGAUUAUGGUCCAGCACCCAGGAGGCCGGAUAUUAUGGGUUCUUUUGAUUUCGUGUCCAAGUGUAUUCAUUCAGGGCUCACAUCCAAUGUUCGGCCUGCUUUUGGGGAUAUCUCGAAGGCACAUAUGGGGUUUUUAAACAAGUGUCCUAGCACAAUGUUAGCCAUGUGUAUGCUCACUGUUCGAGAUAAUCAAUUUUAAGUUUAAAGGAGUAGUGCUAAUUUUUCCCUUUUAACCUUCGUUAAUUGGUCCUAUUUGAUAAUUCAAUUCAACACUUAAAUUUAAUGGAUUCAGAUCUUAACAUAUUCAGAUGUGUUUGAUAACAAAAAUUGAACAUCUGAAUUAAUUAAAUAAUACUAAAUUUUUCAGACAAAAUUUAUUAUAAAAAAUAAAUAAUAAACUAUUCACUUAUUACUUAACGUAAUACGCACUCAAAUGUAUCAAAUUUAAUAUUUAACAAUUCAAUAACGUAAUAGAUUCACAAUUCGAAUUACAUAUUUCAGUUUUAUCAUACUCACCCUAAGUAGAGCUGUUAAACGAACCGAGCUGUUCGGUAGCUCGGUUCGUUUCAACUCAUUCGUGUUCGUGAAAGGCUCGUUCGAAACCUUAAACGAACCGAGUUCGAACGAAUUUUUUUGUUCGAUUAAUAAUCGAGCGAAUACGAGCAUGUUCGCGAAUUUUAACGAACGUUCGCGAACAUGAACAUAAUUAUCAUUUGACAAAUUUUAGGGUUAAUUUUAUAGCUGGACUUUUAUAUUUGGAGGGCAAAUUGCUUUGUUUUAUUUGUUGUUUUUAUGUUAAUGUUAGUUAUAUAGUUAAUGAAUAAUAGAAUUUAGUCACUUAGUGUUUUAAUUAUUUUUUAGAAUGAUUAAUACGAGUUGAAUACGAACUCGAACACGAACUUUGCUUAACGAGUCGAAUACGAACACAGGUUUGGAGUUCGAAAAUUAACGAACGAACACGAACGUUGUUCGAAUCACUUAACGAACAGAGUUCAAACAUGAGAUACUCGGUUCGAUUCGAUUCGUUUACAGCUCUAACCCUAAGUGUCUUUGGCCUUUGGUAUCAUCAGAUGUGCAAUGUUGAAAAAUAACCAUUUAACAAACAUCGGAUUUUCGCUCUCUACAUGCCACAUUCCAAACCGGACUAGACAAAACUAUACAUAUUCAAUGUGCGAGAGGUCGAUAGACCCGUCCAUACGCCUACGAAGUCUAGUUGCCUUAUUUAGUAGGGAAGAGUGAAAUGCCAAAAAGAUGGAGCGCCACCUGGACAAUUAAUUGGAAUAUAGUGGGAAGAAAUACUUAUCAUUUUCUCCCUGAGACCCUCUCGUGUUAGCUUUAUAGAGUUGAGCAGCGAGACUUUCAUUUAAAUUGAAGUUCUUGCUUGUUUUACAAUACCAGGGACGUUCCUAUUAAUAAACACGCGUUCGAGCUUAUUUGACAUCCAGCUUAAACUAGAAACUUCAGAAUUUAUUUAAAUAAAUGGGUAUAGAUAUAUCCAAUUAUCCAUUUAUUUAAAAUUCUAUUUAUUUUUUUGCAUGUUAUUUGACAAGAAAUAAUGGUAUUUGAGUGUUAUUAGAUUAGUAAGAAAUUUAAAUUUAUUUGCUUAACACUUACUAAAAGUUGAGUUUAAAUGUAUAAUUAUUUUUAAAUAGGUAUAAAUGGAUGAAUUGAAUCAAUCUAUUAUCCACCAAUUAAAUGAAUUUAAUUGAAUACUCAUUUAGAUCAAUUCAAAAUUAAUGGAUGAAUUAUUGAUGAACAGAUUUGAAGAAAUCAACAUAAUUGAAUUGUGAUUAACACUCUAAUUGUCCCUAAGAACAGAUGAUGAUGAGAAAAUAGAGUGUGGGAAUCGGUUUUAGGCGUGCGUGUCUGUCUAUAAGUGACGUGUAUUGUUUGCGCUCAAAGAGCGAAAGUUGACUUUCUUCCACUUCAUAAUGAAGACAAACUACUAUCAUUCAUACAAGACUAAGCCGAGUCCAUUAAAUCUUAAAAGCACAUUAGUAUCUCCGCUUUUUUCUUGACUUUCCUUGUGUAGCUAACAACAACAUAUAUCCGUUCCUAAUAAAAUUGAGUAUUCAAACUUAUUUGAUUAUUUUAACGAGUUUAAAAUUUUAUUUAUUUUUUUUACAAGAUCGAGUUUGAACGAAUUUUUUUUAUUGAAUUUAAAGGUUAUCAAACAUAAAACGUUAUUCAAGUUCGGUUUGACUAGUUGAUAAAUCAAGUUCUAACGAGCUUUUAUCAGAUCGAAUAGUUUGUUCAUCUUUAAGCUCUAAUAACAAGAAAUGACAUGUUUGUUCAUUAAGCUUUGCAUUGUAUUAUACAGUAGAUUCAUUUCCAAUCCAAUCUGCUAAUAUAUUGGGCUAAAGAUGAAGUUGUUGAAUUAAAAUAUUCGGCACAAAUUUACAAAAUGAAUCUCGAGUAACGUGACCUUUUCAGUUUUUUUUUUCCCUUUUUAUUAUUCGAUAUCUCCUUUCACUUAUAAAUUCUGUCGGAAGCGGGGCUUGUAUUAUGUAAUGGUGGUCAACUAUUUGAUGCGUAACGCAAAUGAAAAAUAACCAGUCAUUUUAUAAGGUCCUGAAACAGUCAAAUGAAAGAAAGACCAAUUAAAUCUAUUUUCCAGGUGAAAUUGCGGGGAAUGUUUGUCCCAUGAGCUCCUCAACGAUGAUGAAAGAUAGAAUCCUCGUUUAGGAAUUCUAGGACAGACUCAAAAUUUGACUCCAUGGAAUGGUUGGCUCGUGGCUGGGCACCUUUUAUUCUACACAAAACUUCACCCAACAAGUACACGACUGACUGAUCCUUAGAAGCUGCUAAUACUUUGAUAAAGCUGAAGUCACAAAUCUAAAGGAAUCACAGGCUAAAAGAAAACAAGAAAGUUGGGUGGAGGAUAAACACAGUUUUAUUUCUUUCAGGAUCACCUCAUUAAUUCGGCUGCCGGCCACAACAGCUUGCGGAUGUCCUAGUCCAAAUGUCUCGAAUUUCCCGGGCCAACUACUAAGCAGCCGUCGCAGCAGGCGAUGAGAACAAAAUCCUCGUACCACGUCACGUACGACUACGAGUUAUCACCAGGCUACCACUUCAGACUUUAGUCCUUAAAAUGUAAGCCCUUGAAGAAACGAUCAUCAUUCACGAGAGCAUAGUUAGGAAUGAGAAUAUCAUCAUCCCCGUUCCCAUCGCCAUCAUUUUCAUCAUCGUCAUCACCAUCAUCCGCCCACCCCUCUAACUCCUCCUCCCCUGAAAAUAAUAAUUCUGCGCCGCAGCUGUUGUUGUUUUCGUUAUCUGCAGUCUCUUGAUCCACAUUUUCGUCUACGCCACUGUCGCCUUCUGUUAUGGGCGUGGCGGUUGGAGAGAAACUGGAAGCAGAGGCUGGAGAUGAUGAAGAACAAGAAGCUAUUGAUGAGGAGGCAAUGUUAUGGAUAUUAGUGGUGGAAGUAGUAGUAGCGGUGGUGGUGGUGGGGCGCCUGGCGGCGGCAGCGGGGGGUACUUUGCUGCGGGUAGUACCAGCGAGGGAGCUCCGGUGCGUAGGACGGGGGUGCGAGUGUUCCCCGCUGUAUGAGACCACGUACAUGCUAGGAUCCGCAGGGCAUCGCUCCACUUGUUUCCUCGCUGUACAUCCUUUCGAGGUGCUACAUCUGUAGUAGUUUCUGAUUGAUUUUUUAUCCCAACAAAACUAUCUAGUGUCAUUGCUCAAUUAUCCGGAAAGUUAAAAUUAAUGUGACGGAACUUUUCCUUGCAACAUUUCCAUGUGAUAACCAAAUAAUUGGGAUAUAGCCGGAAUGGGUGAUCAAAGAGAAAAAAACCUUGGAUACGGGGAAUCUUUAAUUGGCUUUUGACCGUAUUUUCUCCAUGCCCAUGAAUCAGCUGAUAAUUCUUCUUGUGUCAUUUGUUGAAUCCUCUUGGCCUGCUGGUUUUUCCUGUUUAGGAAGAUGCUAUUAAUUUGCAUUUCUUGAAACACUUAAAAAUACGGUGUCAAGAUUCUAUGCUAGUUUCGAUUCUUCUCUAUCGUUGAUUGGAAUUGUAUACUAAUAUUCAAAAGCUGAGCCACAUUAAUUCUAUGACGUACAACUUAAUUUAGUUGUUAUUUCGACUCGAUCUGGGUUGGAAGAUCCAAAAAUAGUUAGUAUUCCUGGAGUUUUCUAGUAAAUGCUCGCUUACCUUCUUCGCGGCCUUUCGGGCUGAGGACUUGUAGAUGGAAAAGAAAGGGAAGAACCAACAAACAUCUCACGGCUGAGGUGUGAAUAUCUUUGCGGUUGCUGCAUCAGCUGCUGUGGUUGUCCAUAUAUCCGUUGCUGUUGAGGUGUCUGAUCUGCUGUGCAUCCAGGGCCUUGGAUUGCUUGGAUGUGCUGAGCUUGUGAAUUAAGGUCGACGAAAGAUUGUACUAUAUCCUCGUACGGUUCCUUGUAAAUUUCUUGGAGUCCCCGAAAGGAGUCCCUCG
rnacentral:lncRNA from 1 species